rnacentral:lncRNA from 1 species
GUUGCAUCUUUCAGUGACUCCAUGAUAUCAUUGAAAACCUCCUCUCUUGAUUUAAAGGCCUCAAAGUCUGUAUGGACUAUGGGCUCAGGAACAUCACGGUAUCCCAAGCGCUCAAAUUGGCAAUCUUUGAUAAGCUCAUCAAAAGUAGCAGCAGCUUCUUCUGCUUUCCUGCUAAGCUGGUAGCGAGACUUGAUGUUGGGCUUGGGACACAAGCCAAAGAAGCACUUGGUCUUUGCUUUGACUUCAAGAUCCUUCACUUUCUUCUCCUGUUCAGUGACAACCUUCUCCACUCUGUGGCUCCAAUCCAGGACAUCGGCUUUACUCUUCUCCCCAUUCCUUUCUGCAACAUCAACAUCUUGCUGCACGCUAGUUCUUUUUGCAAUCAACGUCCUGUGUGAUAGAACACUGAAAGAACAGCAAAAUAGAACUAUAGAGAGAAGAAUUAUUCUCAAGGUAAAGAAAUUUAACUCACCAUUUCAUCUGUUUACAAUACAAGCUUAUAUAGAAGAAUCAAGUCUAAACUGCUGCUAACAGAAAUAUAACAAAUACCAGCUUGUAACUGUCUGCCUAACCACUAAGCUAUUUACACACUAAUCACAUGUGGAUUUGAUACUAUAACAUUCAUCCAACUUCCUCAAAUGGAACGACCCGAAAAGAAUAAAGAAACCGAGUAAAGAACGACAUAGACAAUGGUUUAGUGAGAAUAUCGGCCACUUGGUCACAGACAGGAACUUCACCAACAACUAACUUGCCAUUAGCCACCUUUUCCCGGACAAAAAACAGAUCAAGUUCAACAUGUUUAAACUUGGAGUGCAGAACUGGAUUGGCUGCAACAGCAACGGCACUCGAAUUAUCACACGACACUGUCGGAGGAUCAGCAGAACUUAGUUUUAACUCUGUUAAGAGAGAAGUUAGCCAAGCAACAUCACUAGUGGCAGCAGCUAAACUACGAUAUUCAGCCUCGGCCGUAGACCGAGAGACAACUUGUUGUUUCUUAGAACACCAAGAUAUAGGUGUAUGACCAUAGUAUACACAGAAUCCCGUAGUGGACCGACGAUCAUCAAAAUCAAGCCCCCAAUUUGAAUCGGCAUAACCGACCAAGGAAAGCCGCUCAAACCAUCGAAAAAGUAAUCCAUAAGAGAGAGUACCACACAAAUACCUAAGAAUACGUUUUAAUGCUACCAAGUGCAAGAAUACGUUUUAAUGCUACCAAGUGCAGAUUAGUGGGAGCAUGCAUAAACUGACACACCCUAUUAACAGCAUAGGCAAUAUCAGGCCGAGUUAACACAAUAUACUAAAGGGCACCAGCUAAACUAUGAUAUUCAGUUGGAUCAACAAGAUAAUCACCCUCAUCCUUUGAUAACAUAGAAGAGCUGACCAUCGGGGUAUGAACACUUUUAGCAGUAGACAUAGAACUCCAGGCAAAAAGCUGACGAAUGUAUUUGUGCUGACAUAGGUGAAGACUACUAGAGGAAGACCGACUGACCUCAAGCCCCAAAAAAUAAUGAAGGUCACCCAUAUCCUUUAGAGCGAACUUGUUGUGUAGCUACUGAACAAACUAUCUAUUCCAUCAGAGGAACCACCUGUAAUAACAAUAUCAUCCACAUAGACAAGCACAUACAAAGUGUAAUCAGAGGCAGAACGAACAAACAACGAGGCAUCUGAUUUGGACAAUGUAAAACCAGUAGAAAUAAGAAACUGUUUUAACUUGUCAAACCAGGCACGAGGAACUUGUCGUAAACCAUAUAAAGCUUUAGUCAGAUGACACACCAACGUCUCACCACUAGAGCCAUGAUGCACAAAACCUGGAGGCUGCUCAUGUACACGUCAUCAACUAGAUCACCAUUCAGAAAGGCAUUAUUGACAUCAACUUGCCGGAGUGGCCAGCCCUUUGUGACAGCAAUAGAGAGAAUAACACAAAUGGUAGCAGGUUUGAUCACCGGACUGAAUGUCUCUGUAAAAUCACAGCCAGGUACCUGUGAACAGCCCAUGGCCACUAAGCGCGCCUUACGGUGAUUAAUUGUGCCAUCAAGAUUUUUCUUUAUUUUAGACAACCACUUGCAACCAAUCGCCUUUCGACCAGAAGGGAGAGAACAAAGCUCCCAUGUAGAGUUAGCUAUCAAAGCAUCAUAUUCAGCUUAAACAGCCGACCGCCAAUCUGGAUGAGCAAGAGCCUCCUCAACAGAACUUGGCUCAAGGUCAAUAUUGUCGGCACACAAAGCUUUGGGUUUAAAAAUACCAGUUUUAGACUGAGUAAUCAUACCAUGUGUAUUGGUAGUAGAAAUAGGAAGGAGAGAGACAUGCUCAGCAGGAACAACAGAAGUAGCGGUAGCUUCGUCUUGAACACCAGUCUCUGAGGGAGUCGUUUCUGGAACAGCAGUCCCUGAAUCACUAGCAGGACUUCCUAAAGUACCCUCCGGUGGAGGUGCAGAAGACAAACCAGUGUUCGUAGUGGUAAAUGAUCGAACAACAGGAACAUACGUAGGAUUACCCGGAGACGCCUGAGCACUAGUAGGAGACGAGAGCGAAAACAGAAAUCGAGUUUCAUCAAACGCAACAUGCCGAGAAGCAAUAACCUUAUCAUCAGGUGUUAGACAAAAAUAACCUUUAUGAUGUGCACUAUACCCCAGGAACGUAGAUGGUUGGGACUGAAACUCAAGCUUGUGUUUACCAAACAGCGUAAGUGCGAAAAACAACAACUAAACACUCUGAGAUGAUCAUAAGUCGGGUCAUGACCAAACAAACGUUGAUAUGGAGAUCGUCCAGCCAAGACAGGAGUGGGUAAGCGAUUGAUAAGAUGGACGGCACUACAGAACGCAUAACCCCAGUACUUCAUAGGUAGAUUAGCCUGGGCCAGAAGAGCAAGACCAGUCUCCACAACAUGUCUAUGUUUACGCUCAGCGACACCAUUCUGCUCAGACGUGUAAGGACAGGAAACACGAUGAAGAAUCCCCUGACGGGCUAGUACCGAAAAAAAAGCGCGAAACUCACCUCCCCAAUCGCUUUGAAAUUUCUUAAUACACUUCCCGAACUGUGUGCGAACCAUCUUCUGAAAUUGACCGAAACAUUUUACAGCCUGAGAUUUACGAUUGAUUAGAUACACCCAAGUAAAUCGACUAGUCAUAUCAACGAAAGAAACGUAAUACAAAUUACCUUUACAUGGAACCACAUCCGGGCCUCACACAUCAGAAACAACCAAUUCAAACAAAUCAACAUACUCAGUACUGGAACGAGGAAAAGGCAAUUGAUGAGAUUUUCCUUUUUGACACGCAACACAAACAUUAUCAAGGUGACUUUUAUUUACAGUAAUAUGACAUUUGUCAAGGACAGCCUUUACAAUAUUAGGAGCAGUGAUGGCUGUCGAUUCCACCAAUAUAAACCUACACCUAAUUUGUAAAUUAAAGCAGUAUAGGGAGUAGGGUCGAUCCCACAGAGAUUGGGUUUACUGAAAAUUGUUUAUCUCUCGACCUGAUUUAUGUCUGGGCAGUUGUCGUGCCCACGAUGUUUAGGGGGGAUAAAAUAUGAAACCUGAAAUAAACACAAAAAAGCGUAAAAUGUAAAAAAUAAACAACAAAGUAAUCUGAAAAAAAAUCAAUUAAACUUAGCUAAGCCUUAAGCACGGGUUUUUUCGUCUUUGACCCGAUCUUCGAAAUUAGGUGAACUCCGCUUUUCCAAUAAGCUAGUUAUAGCUACCAAGGACGCCUCGGACACCAACCCUUCCUUGUGUAAAUUAGUUAUAGAACAUCCUAUAACUAACCCUUACCGAUCGAACAACCUAUGAAACGUUCGUAAUUUAGAACUCCGGCAACUUUGCGUUUUAGAAAAGCCUAGCUCGAACCAAUGCCCUCAAACGUUGGGACAUUUAAAUUUGGUUACAACUUCCCUUGACGGAACCAAACAGCAAUCCCCACUUGGCACGCCAAUGUGUUCACGGAAGACCAAUUAGACAAUCGAUCCUUUCGGAAUUCCAACUGUACGUCUAGCCACACUAACUCAAACGACGUCUUUUUUGACUUAGUAUUGACUUGACUUUGUGAGUUGACGAAUCUUAAUCCGGAGAAAUAAUAAAUAUCAAAAAUUAGGAGUUAAACAGCUCAGGUUCGUAACUUACAGGUUUUUGACAGGGUUAACACCGCUUAAAGCUGAAAAGGGUUUAGUGUGGCAUGAAUUUAAUCAUGCUUGAAGGUUGUGGAUUGUGUUUUGGCUUGGUGUGAAGGAUGAUGGAAUUUUGGAAUGGAAGGGGACUUGGAAGGCAAUUGAACCAAUUUGAGAAAAGAAACAAAACAAAUGAAAAUUGACAGAAUGCUAAACUCCAAGUUGAAAAGGGAAAAGGAGAGUAUUUCUAUUCCAAAUAGAAGUAGGAAUACAAAGACAAGAGAUGAUUUUCUAAGAACUAAAAGCCCCUAUUUGUAUAGAUAGGGUUUACUAAAAAUAACUUAAUCCUAAAAUAAUAAAAUAAAAAUAAAUAAAACAAAAUAAAACAAAAUAAAAUAAUAUCUUCUAUUUUUAGCUAUUUACAAAGUUAAAUUUUGAUGUUAGGUCCUUGGCCUUCCCAUCUUUAUGAUUUGGCCCCAACUCAAUGAUUUGUCCUUCAAUUUGGCCCCUUUUUGCUCGUUUUUGACCAAUUGCAUCCCUGACAAGAUUAAAUCAUAAAAACACCAAUUAAGCAGGGAUUAGUUCAGAAAUAAAACAAUUUAGACACAUGAAUUAUGUAAAUUAAUGUGUUUAUCAAGCAAGAUGACCCAGUCUCUUAUGCCACAAGCUAAAAACAUCAUCGGCUGUAGAGGAACAUUGAACAAGAGCACUAUGAGCAGACGGAGAACCGCUCGAUCCCGCUGAGAACUGAUAGAGUCCAUCAUGAACUUGGCCCCGCAUUAAUAUUUCCUGUGUCUGGAUAUCCUUAAUCACACAAUAUGAGGGGUGAAAUUCAAAAAAUACAUUGUUAUCAGUAGCAAACUUAGAAACAGACAAUAAAUUUUUCUGAAUGCUUGGCACACAUAGCACAUUUGAGAGAUGGAGUAACUUCUGCGUUGUAGGGAUAGUUGUACUCCCAACAGAGGAAAUUGGAGUGAACACCCCAUUACCCAUUAAAAGAGAUGAAUUACCUGUAUACGGAGUGGUGCCAUGCAAAUUCGAAGCAUUGCAACACACGUGAUGAGUAGCCCCCGAAUUCGGACACCAGGACGUGCCUCAUACCGAAACAUAAGAAUCAGUAGAGUUAAAAUUGGAGUCAUACUCGGUAGCACCAGAAUAAUCAGAAGCGUGCAACUCAGGAAUUCUAGGAGGAAGCCCAACAAAUUGAGACGAAUCAUAUAGAGAUGAGGCAACACUAAACACACGAGCACGCAAUUUUGUUAGCCAAGGGGCCUCACGAACAGUCUGCCAAGAGCGGCCAACAUCAAUACAAUUGGCAGAGGGCUCAGGAACAAAUUGUCUAUCAGUGAGAUGGGAGCGAGUCGACCCACUAGGCCUGCGUGGCCUAGAAUCCAUGUUACCACACAAUCGACCCAAAGUCUCAUUAUUAAAUUGGAAACCCACGGCAUAUUGUCCACUAUCAAAUUCACGCCCAUUACCAAAGGAAUUUGGGCCAAUAUUAUCAUACUGUCUAGGUCCAUGGGAAACAAAUGGAUUCCCUGCAUGUGGCCCACGUGGGGAAGAACCAUCAAAGCCAGAAUUCGGCCAAACAGAUGGCCUCCAAUUUUGACCAUAAGAACUCCAAUUUUGACCAAAACAAUUUGCUCCAAAUUGACCAUCAUUUCGAUCAUCACUUCGCCCAACCAUUCCAGACACAGAACCACUCCGUCGAACUAUCGGUGCGUCGAUCGACGAUUGCUCAUCACGAUUGUACCGGUAAUAACACCACUACGCAAGAUGUCCAUACCUACUGCAGAUUUGGCACUAGACUUUCAGACGAAACGAACGCCCUCGACCUCGAACAGACGAACGGCCUCCGCCAUGAAACGGACCAUCAGUGGGUGAAAGGGGCGACCCCUCCACCGCAUUCGCAGCAACCAACACCUCUGGAGCAGACCGGACUUGGCAGGCUUCACACUUGAGCAAGGCAUCGAUGAUGCGUUGAAAAGACAGCAGGCUCGUGGAGAGAGAGACAGACGAAAUGAUAGCAUCAAACUCAGAGGAGAGACCGGCAAGAAGAACCGCCGUCCGUUCAUCCUCCGAGAUUUGAGAUCCCGAUGCUGCAAGAAGAACGCACAAGCUUGUAAUCUUAUUCACAUACGAACGAAUUGAGAGGCUACCUUUACGGAGAGAAUGAAGCUCAUGGCGCAACUGUGAUUGCUUCGCACUGGAAUCAGCCACAAACAAAUUGGUCGCCACGAUCCAAACAUUACGAGCAGAGCGCACAUCCGUAAAAGAGGACAGAAACGAAAAGCUGAUUGUCGAUAACAACCAAGAGGUAAGUAAACUGUCUUGUUGUUCAAAGACCGAAACAGCCGGAUUAACAACAAGAUCUCCAUUGGAGGAUUGAACAAAUCACGCCAGAGCCGCCAACGAGCCAUCAAGAAGUCCAAACAGUCCGUAGCCACGAAGAAUCAGUCAGACCUGCUGCUGCCAUUGAACAAACGAGCCUUCAUCCAGCUUGACCACCUCAUAUCGAGGAAAUGAGGUGACCACGCGAUCACCAAGGAACACUAAGCCAUGAGGCUCAACAGAGUCAGAUUCAGCACUGUGCGUGUUAGCCAUGCCCAUGGAUCACCGAGCGACUGAUACCAUGAUAGAACACUGAAAGAAUAGCAAAAUAGAACUAUAGAGAAGACAAAUUAUUCUCAAGGUAAAUAAAUUUAACUCACCCUUUAAUCUGUUUACAAUACAAGCUUCUAUAGAAGAAUCAAGUCUAAACUGCUACUAACAGAAAUAUAACAAAUACCAGCUUGUAACUGUCUGCCUAACCUCUAAGCUAUUUACACACUAAUCACAUGUGGAUUUGAUACUAUAAUACUGUGUUUCUGCUUGAACUUGUCAACAAUUUUCUGGUAGAAGAUUACAUAUCUAAUAUGACGUUUAACUUGGUGGAAGAUACCUUUCACAGUCUCGGAAGAGACAUUGGCAGCAGCUCCAGUACCAAUAGCUUCCAUUUCUUUUCUUUUUUUUUUGCUUUGGGGUUACAGAUGACUGUCAGAGAGAGUAAAAAAGAAAAUAGUAAAAGGAAAGAAGCAAGCAAGAAGAAAUCAAAAAUGAAGUGAAGAAGCCAUUAGCCAAUAUGAAAUAGAAAUUCAGUAAGGCGUGGAAUUGGAUAUGGACUGUUGUCUUCGACUCCGUUAGACUUUAGACUAGAAAUCAAAGAACCAGCAAAAGAAAACACAGAAUGAAUGUGGAUGGUUGCGGGUACCUUCAGUGGAAAUUAAGCACAUACAGUUUGACUAGAUCAAAUUACGACAUUUCACUUUUUUUUAAAGGUAAAUAAUUAUUACUAAAGUUAUUUUAGUUAAGUGGUUGAUGGAGCAUGUAAAUUUAAAGGGUUAAUAAUUAAUUCAGCCCCUAAACUAUAAUUAAAAUGUUAAUUUGAUGCUUUUAAAUUUUUUUAAUAAUAAUUCUAAAAAUUUUAAAGGGUAAAUUAUUCAGAUAGUCACCCAAAUUUUGAUGCAUUCCUAUUUUAGCCACCUUUUUUUUUUGUUAAUUUAGUUACUUCCAUUAGAUUAUUUGUUAUUUUUAGUCACUCCAACAUUAAAUACCUUGGUCAUUGAAUGAACUGCUAAUGUAGUAGUCUUUUUUAUUAAUAUAAUAACAAAUUUAGUCAUUAACACUUUGUACAUUCUGUCAAGUUGGUCCUAAUUUUAGAAAAAAUUAAUAAAUUUAACCCUUAAUAUUUACACAUUUUGUCAAUUUAGUCCAAAUUCGAAAAAAUUCAAAAAUUUUAAGAUCUUGAAAUAUAUAUAAUUUAUUAUAAAAGGACAUAAAAAUAUAAAAUAUUUAAAUUAUAUAUAAAGUUGCAUAAAGUAUUAAUUGCUAUAUGGUCCCAAUUCUAAAAGCUCAACAAAUUUAACCUUUAAUGUUUGCAUAUUUUUUCAAUUUAGUCCAAAUUCUAAAAAUUUAUAAAUAAAAUAUUCAAAAAUAUAAAAAUUAGAAAAAAAUCAAUCAAAAUCUAAAAUAAAAAUAAGUAAAGUUUUCUUAGUUAUAAUUCAAAAUCAUUAAAAAAAACCCCCACAAAAUGUCAUACUUUUGUUAUAUGCCGCCACACAGCAUAGCGAUUAAAAAAUUUACAAGAAGAAAAUCGAUUUUUGUCCUGUUGCUAGAUAUUUUGGUCAACCAAACAAAAGAGAUCAACUUUGUAAAACAACAUUCAUCCCAUCAUCUCCUUCCUCAUUCAUCUUCAAGCUUCCCAUUAUUCUUAUACUCUUGCCCAAACCUCACAAUCUAAAUACCAUACCAAAUGGAUACCCAACUAUACUAGACCCAAACUACAUCAUCACUUUAUCAUUAAGCACUCAUCAUUAAACCCACAACCAAAGUCAAUUUCUUUUUUAUUUUACAGACAUACCCAAACUCUGUUUCACAUCUUCUUUUAAUGAGGAAAAAUCGAUCAAUAAAGUAUCACUUAACCUUAAGCAUUUAAAUCCCUCAAAGCCGUGCACUUUGCCUCCGAAAUGGAGCAAAAGAUGUUUCUAUAAGUAAAGGCUUUUUUAUUUGAAUCCCUCAACCAACUAUUUGAUUAUGGUGCUAGUAGAAUUUGGUAGUGAUUGAUUCCAAAAAGUAAUUUAAAGGACUCGCUUUGCUUGGUGGGGUUUAAAAAAAAUAUUUAUUCAAAAAAUUCAUGAGAAAAUGAGGAUUAAAUUUUCUUGAAUCCCUAUGAAAUUUCUUUAAAAUUAAAAAAAUAUUUAUUUGAAUCCCUCCACCAAAUUCAUAUUUAAGUAUUUAUGUAUUUUUAUCUAUAUUGUUAGUAAUUUUUUUAUUACUGUAACCGUAACGAUUUUUUUAUUGUUGCUGUGCCAAAUGAUAAAAAAAAUUAAAACCAACGAUAACUUUUUUUAACCUAUAAAUACCCCUUAAAUUUCAUUUUUUUUCAUUCACAUCCUUCUCUCAAACUUUGUCAAGCUUUUUAUUUAAUUUUUUUAUAUUUUCAUUUAAAAACAUUAUUUAUUUAAUUAUAUCGUCUUUUAUUUGUUCGGAUCUAUUUCUCGAGAAUGAAUGCCUCUCUAAUCCGCUUCGGAGACAACCAUAUUUCGGCCGCCUAAUUAGCAACGGUAAUUCAUUAUUUUUAAAUUUUUGUUAUUUUUAUCUAUGUUAAAUUUUUUUAUAAAUCUAAAUAAAAAUUUUAUGUUAUAAAUAGGCGGACGAUCGUGUGCUGGAGGUGUUCAUAUAUAAUACGGGGGAGCCUCUAAUCCUUAAAACUUGUAAAUACCUACAAGAGGCUAGAUUCUUGCAUGCGUCUCACAUACAAGGGGGCUAUAAACUCAAUCCCACAUUAAUUAGCACAUUGUUGAAAGGUGCAGGCCCGAAACACAAAUUUUCUACCUUCCAUGUGAAAAUUGUACAAUCACACUCGAGGACGUAGAGCUACAACUUCGUUUGCCAGUGGAUGGGCCAGUUAUCACAGGAUCAACAGUGGUUCGGGGAAAAGUAGACCCUUGCACGGCAAUGUUGGGGAAGGUCCCGAACAGGUUCUUAGGUGGUCAGAUUUCGAUUAACUAGUUGGAGAAAAUUUUCAAUAAGCUUCCUGACAACGCAACGGAGGAGGUCAUACAACAUUAUGCCCGAGUAUCCAUCAUGAGGUUAACCAAUGGCAUUUUAAUGCCCAAUAAAUCUAGAAAUUUAGUGCACGAAAUGUGGCUUCUACAUCUAAUGGACUUCAAUGAAUGUGCAAAACUAAGUUGGGGAUCUGUCGUUGUAACACCCCUAACCCGUAUCCGUCACCAGAACAUGGUUACAAAACAUCGCCAAAGUUUAUAGAAUAUUUACAGAUAAUUCAGAUCAAUUAUUAUUCAUACUCGAAACCAUACAUAAUCAAUCAUAUUGUCCCUUAAUUGAACCUUCGAGGUCCAAUUUAUACAUUAGAAUCAAGUCGAGACUAAAUAGGAAACUCAUAGAAUUUUUCAUAAAAUUUCAAAAUUUUUCUUAAAAAGAAAGGAUACACACCCGUGUGGGUGGGCUCUGUGGCUCACACGGCCAAGUGACACACUCGUCUAUCAGGCUGUAUGGGCAUUUGAUAUAAGGCACACGGCCGUGUCCCAACCCGUGUCCAUACCCGUGUAACUCUCUGACUUGUAUCACACGGCCAGCCACAUGCCCGUGUGUUAGGCAAUGUGGUAAAUUUAAUUUUGGAAAAAUAGGUGCAGGGGACACACAGCCUGACCACAUGCCCAUGUGCAUGGCCGUGCAUCACACACGGCUGAGACACACGCCCGUGUCUCUGCCCGUAUAGACAGAAUAAGGCCAUUUCCAAGCCUUAUUCCUCAUCCUUUUUGUUUUUCACCUACAACAACAUUUGAAACACAUUUCCAAACCAAUUCAAGACAUUCAAACCAAGCCAAAUACCAAUAUUAUGCAUGUAUAUCAUAUCAUUUAUUUAUGUAUUCAGGUUUACUUAGUUGAUCACAUAAUAACUCAAGCAUGUUUAAAUCUCCAUUUAUCAAUUCAAAUACUUUCAUCCACUACCAUAAUUUUAAUCCCAUGCAUACAUAAAUAUUAAACAUAAUAUUACUAACCAUUUAGCCAUUCCAAUGGCUAAUUACAACUAAAACAUUUACAAACUCUCAUAUGUCAACUUUAGCCUAUACAUGCCAUUAUACUAUAAUAAGUUUCUAUUUAUACCGAGAUGAGCUGUGGAUAGUGUGAUGAUACUUCAACCGACCUCCAACCUUGAAAAGCUUCCGAGCACUAUAAAACAGAGUAAAGUAAACCUAGUAAGCAUUUAAUGCUUAGUAAAUUCGUAUAACAGUAAUUUAACUUACCAUUGAUAAUCAUCUAUAGUAAACAUACAAAACAUGCAUCCAAAUUGUUUUGAUCAAUUCCCUAAUCAUAUGCUGUAACACCCCCUAACCCGAUUCCGUCACCAGAGGGGUUAUGAGGUAAUUACCAAACGAUUACAACAACCUUUGAACAUUCAUAUAGUAAAAUUUAACUGUAUAAUAAUAUGCUGCCAAGCCAAAUUCAAAUAUAAACUUAACAACUCAUUUGCUUAUACUUACUAACAAAGUCAAUUGACCAUUUUACGAAUUCAUUUAAAAACAAUUAAUAGGUUAAACCAAAUGCCAUCAAUGCUUGAUAUUUACUCAACAAAAUAAGGUAUAUAUAAGUACUUAACAAAAAAAUUAUGCGCAUGAAGUAACAUUAUAACAAGACCAAAUGUGCAUCAUUUGUCAUCAAUGUUUAAGUAAAAAAACCAUGUCCAUUUCAAUCAUCUUGAACAUCUAUAUAAAACCAUAUAUAUAUAUUCAAUAUGCAUACCAAAAUUAUAUAGGUAAUAAACCGAAUAUAAAUACCAAUCAUUAAGCUUAAAACAUUUUCAUGCUUGCCAUUAACACCGAAUAUCAAUAUCCAACCCAUAAUUGAUCAAAUUAUAACUAAAAUUUUCGAUUAUAAACCAAGAACAUAUAAAACAACUCACUUACCACAACAUAUACAUACCAUAAUUAAUCCUACUAAACUAGUAUUAUAACCCAUAUUGAUCAUUACUAUAAACAAAUGUACAUAAUUUAGACAUCACAAUUAAAGGCAAACUCAAACCACAACCGAACAUAACCAAACUUUAACAUGUAAAUUAAGUCAUUUUAGCAUGACUUAACCAUUAUACAUAUAUAAAAUUUAAACAUCUCCAAAAGAGUUAUUAGCUUAUACAUGCCAUAAUUACCGAACCAACUUUUAAAGGUACCUAAAUAUUGAAGAUAGUGUGGAUGACUUUACUAACGAUCCCCGAGCGCGUAACGAUCACCAAAAUCUAUAAAAUAGAGACAAGAAAAACACAUCCAAUGUAAGCUACCAUAGCUUAGUAAGUUAUAAGCUUCAACAACUCCAAAUUAAAUUUAAUAGGCUAGUAUUAUCUAACUAAGUCAUGCUACUAGAUCAUUUAAUCAAUAUCUUACCACAUUCAAAACAAUUUAUUAUUCAUAUGCCCAAAUUCAACUAAGUCCAAUAUGCAUCUGCCCAACCACAAUAUACUACAUUACUCACAAACACACAAAAAAGAACGAAUGCAUUUAACAUUCAUCAUCGAAUAACAUUAAUAUAUUCGAUCACAAAGCCAUUAAAACCAAUCUAUCUUUAUACAUACUUUCAAUUUAUAAUACUCAUCACAUAGAACCGAUGCUCACCUGCACCAACUUGAGCUAUACAUCAUAGUUUUUCAUCAAGAAAUUUGAAGCUUUAAUUUAUUCAACCAUUUCCGAUCUACUUAAAUAAAUCUCACACCUAGUGCUAAUGUUUACUCGGAAAAUAUAUACACAAUUUGCACACUUAGUGCUCAAUAUUUAAAUUCGCACACUUAGUGCUCAAUAACCACAUUCGCACACUUAGUGCAAGAUUCACAUCCGUAAUCGUUCACACUCGCACACUUAGUGCCUAAAUUCUAUUACUCAAUACAUAUCAAUUUAAAUUCAUCAAUUUCCUUUAAAUUCGGCAACAUCAAUCUUUCAUGUAAUUCAAUUCAGCUCUUCUACUUAAUUUGAUUUAAAUUUAUAUCAACAAAAACACAAAAAUUUUCUUAAUAACUUACCUCGGAUAUUGACAGACAGUUGAGUUCGACUGCUCAAUGAUUUUUUGAUUUUUCCCGAUCCACGUCCAAUCUUUUUGGUUCUUGAUCUAAUUGAAUUUGCAAGGACCGAAAAUACCAAAGCUUAUACUUUCUUUUCUUUCUCUUAGUUUCGGCCAAAUGAGAAUAAAAAGAUGAACACUUUCAUCUUUUAUCAAAUAUAAUAUAUUAAUAUAUAUUAAAAUAUAUCAUAAUGUCAUAAUAUAUAAUAAACAAUUCAAGUUACUAUUUCAUGCAUAUUGGCCGGCCACUAAUUCCUAAUUAUGGCCAAAUUGCAACAUUAAUAUUCCAUAGUAUAAAAACAUUCAUAACUUGGCCAUUAUAUAUUAACCCUUAAAUUUUUCAUUUUACGCGAUUAAACCCUUUUUCAUCAAUCGACCUCCAAACAUUAAAAUUUUUAAACGAUACUUUCACAAAAGCAACUUCACACAUUUUAAUCAUAGAAAAUAAUAUUUAAAUAUUAUUCUGACUCGGAUUCGUGGUCCCGAAACCACAAUUCCAAAUAGGGUCAAAAUUGGACUGUUACAUAUGCACUCAUUCAACUAGUUAGUCAUGUAAAUAACAUAAAAUUUUAAGCCAAUAAAGAUGAGCUCAUCAUGCUAAAAAUUUCCUAGUAUUUCAAGAACAUUCGAUAUAUAAAUUCAUUGCAUAAAUCAGUAAUCCGUCAAUUCAUGUUCAGGGUUACCCAUUAGGGUACAUAAUCAGGAUGCUCAGAUGAGCCAUGUAAUAGGACGCUUAUUCAAGCUAAACAGGAAACUCAUAAGAGUUUUAAUCAGGGAGCCCAUAGAGCUUAACAGGUAACACCGAAGAGUUAUUAUCAGGGAGCACCAGAUAGCAUAAUAGGGAGUUCAAGCGAGCUUAACAGGACGCUCAUAAAGAGCUACGUUCGUGUCCGCAACGUAUGCAGGAUCAUAACUGAUCGCAUAACAAGACGCUCACAAAUAGCUGCAUUUGUGUCUGUAACAUAUACAGGAUCACAACCGACCGAAUCAUGUACCAGGACACUCAUACAGAGCUGCGGUAGUACGCAACACAUGCAAAUUCACUACCAAUCAGGAUGCUCGCAGGAACUAAAUAACAGGAUACUCGAGAGGACUUAUAACAGGAUUGCUUGUCUGAGCUAUAUUCUGUCCGCAACAUAUGCAGGACCUUAUUCAAUGUGGGAAAACCAUGUAUCCAUCAAAAUUCUUUAUUCAAACGAAAUUUAACAUUUUUUGGACAUGAUCAGAUAUGUGAUUAUUUCAUAUAUUUACAAUAUUCAUAUAAUUCAUUUAAUUACAUAUCACAUUCAACUCAAGCAUAUAAAUAUAUACAAUUUAGUAACGCGAACUUACCUCGACAACUAUUUGUGUUUGCAAAAGUCUACUAAUCCUAUAUUUUCUUUUGUCCACGAUCUAACUCUUUAUUUGAUCUUUUCGAAUCUAUAUGAAUGAAUUUAACAUCAAUUUAAUCCAUUUCAUACUCAAUUAAAUUCAAUUCACAUCUUAGGAAAAAUUACCAUUUUGCCCCUAUACUUUUCAUAAUUGCCAAUUUCGUCUCUAGGCUCAGAAAAUAAAAUUCAUGCAAUUUAGUCCUUAUUCCAAACCUAACCAAAAUUUUCAUAUUAUAUUUACAGCACAUGUAUUUCACAAAAUUUAGAAUUUUUCCAUGAAUUUUACAACUUUUCAACUUAGUCCCUAAAUCAUGUUUUCAUCAAAAUUUACUUUGUAAAAUUUGUUUAUCUAUCAACAAUCUUUCAUUUUCUACCCUAAAUUUUAAAAUUUUAGCAUAUUCAUCCAUGGAAAAACUUUGAUACUUUAAUAACUUUACAAAUUAAUCCCCAAAAUAGAUAAAUUAAACUACACCGAUCUCAAAAAUAUAAAAAUUACUAAAAACUGACAAUAAUUCAUACCUAAUUAAGCUUCAUUGAUUUCAUUUCUCUCUCCUAGGGUUUUCAUGUAAAUUUUGGGGAAGAUGAUAUAAAAUGAUAUUUUCUCUUAUUUAAUUUAAUUUAUCAUCUUUUAAUUUUCAACUUUCCAAUUUCAUCAUUUUCUUUUUCUAAUUUUCCAUGAAUGAAUCAUCAAAAAUAUCUACUAACUCCAUCUAAUUGUAUAAUUUUCAUAUAAGGACCUCUUAUUUUGAAAUCUAUAGCUAUUUGAUACUUAUAGCUACUAGAACUCAACUUUUGCAUUUUAUACAAUUUAAUCAUUUCCAUAAUUAAGCAUGAAAUCGGUAAAAUUUCUUAUCAAAACUUUCAUGUAUCUUUCUUAUCAUAAUGCAAACCAUGCAAUGACAUUAAAAUAAAGUUUCUUUCUUACUCCCAUUUGUGGUUCUGAAACCACUUUUUCGAUUUCACUAAAAACGGGCUGUUAUAACUCUCCCACUUAAAAAGUUUCGUCCUCGAAAGGCUUACCAGUUUAGGUAUUGCUUUCUCAUAGUGUCCUCCAGUUCCCAGGUAGCUUCUUCCAUUCCAUGUCGUUGCCAAAUAACUUUCACUAAAGCUACCUUUUUAUUUCUUAACUCUUUUAUUUCACUUGCUAGGAUUUUGAUUGGUUCCUUACUGUAGGUCAUAUUAGGUUGAAUCUCUACUUCUGUUGGAAAGAUAACAUGUGAAGAAUUUGAUUGAUAUCGUCGUAACAUGGACACAUGGAAAACAUUAUGAAUUCAGUCAAGUUCUAGUGGUAAUGCCAAUUGAUAUGCAACAGGUCCGAUUCUUUCAGCAAUUUUAUAUGACCAGAUUAAUCGUGGACUCAAUUUUCCUUUACAACCAAAUCGGAGAACUUUCUUCCAAGGUGAUACUUUUAAAAAUACCUUAUCACCAACCUAAAAUUCUAUUUCUUUUCAUUUAAGAUCGGCAUAAGACUUUUGACGAUUUAAGGCUGCUUUCAAACUAUCCCGAAUCAGCUUUACCUUUUUUUCAGUUUCACGGAUUAAGUAAACUCUAUGUAUCUUUUUCUCACUGAGUUUUGUCCAAUAUAAUAGAGUUCUACAUUUGCGACCAUACAGAGCCUCGUACGGUGCCAUUUUAAUACUGGAUCGAUAACUGUUAUUGUAAGCAAAUUCAACUAAAGGCAGAUAUUUUCCCAGUUACCUUCAAAUUCAAGCACAUAACACCGAAGCAUAUCUUCUAAAAUAUGUACAACACGUUCGGAUUGGUCAUCAGUCUGAGGAUGGAAUGUAGUACUGAAAUGUAACUGUGUACCCAAAACUUCUUGCAAUUUAUUCUAGAACCGGAAUGUAAAUCGAGAAUCUCUGUCUGAAAUAAUAGAAAUCAACGCUCCAUGUAGUCUAACAAUAUCAGAAACAUAUAAUUCAGCCAAUCUAUCCAAAGAGAAAUCCAUACAUACCGGAAUAAAGUGUGCAGACUUUUUCAACUAGUUGACGAUUACUCAAAUAGCAACUUUCUUCUUCGGAGACAGGGGUAAUCCUUUCUCAUUUCUAUUCUGGUAUUGUAAUUGGCUGUAAUAAUCCCAAAGGCACAUGAUGUUUAGCUUUUUUAGAUGCAAAUUUAGAAAUUUCACGUUUCAUUCCUGGCCACCAGUACAUCUUUUUCAAAUUAUUGUACAUUUUGUUACUACCAGGAUGAAUAGAUAUGGUACCUUUGUGAGCUUCAUACAAAAUCUUUUUGUACCAGUUCUAAAUCCUUUGGUACACAUAUUCUACCUCUGAAUAAUAAACAAUCAUCUGGCCCAAUCUAAAAUUCUGAAUCAAGAGUCGAUUCACACUGUAUUCGUAAUUCUUCUGAGCUUCACAGAUUUGUUGUAGAAAUGUUGAUUUAGCUUUUAACUCAGUUAUAAUUGAACCAUAAUCUGACAAUUACAAUCGGGUAUUCCUUACUCGUAAGGCAAAUAAAGACUUUCUGCUUAGAGCAUCAGCAACCACAUUGGCUUUCCCCGGAUAAUAGCCAAUAACCAAAUCAUAAUCUUUUAACAACUCAAGCCACCUGCAUUGUCUCAAAUUCAAGUCUUUUUGCAAUAUUAAAUACUUCAAACUUUUAUGAUCGGUGAAUAUGUGACAUUUUUCACCAAACAAGUAAUGCUGCCAAAUUUUUAAUGCAAACACAAUGGUUGCCAAUUCAAGAUCAUGUAUCAGGUAAUUUCUUUCAUGUGGUUUUAGCUAUCUAGAAACAUAAGUUAUUACUUUACCUUCUUGCAUCAAUACAUAGCCUAAACUAUUCAAUGAAGUAUUACUGUAAAUUAUAAAUUCCUUACCCGAUUCAGGUUGAACUAACACAGGGUCUUCAGUCAAUAAGGCUUUCAAUCUAUCAAAACUCUGCUGGCAUUUUUCAGUCCAGUCAAAUUUUACAUUUUUUUGCAACAGACGAGUCAUCGGAGAAGCUAUCAUUGAGAAUCCUUGUACAAAUCUUUGACAGUAACUGGCUAAUCUCAAAAAACUUCUGACCUCAGACACAUUUUUCGAUGGCUUCCAAUUAACAAUAGCUAAAAUUUUAUUUGGGUCCACCCUGAUUCCUUCAGCAGAUACUAUAUGUCCGAGAAAACCAACUUUCCAUAGCCAAAAUUCACAUUUACUAAAUUUGGUAUACAAUUGUUUCUCUCGCAGUCUUUGCAACACUAUUCUCUAAUGAUCAGUAUGUUCAUUUUCAUCUCGAGAAUAUACCAAAAUAUGAUCAAUAAAUACUACCAUAAACAUGUCUAGAUACGGUCUGAAAAUUCUAUUCAUUAAAUCCAUGAAUAAUGUUAGUUUAUUUGUAAAACUGAAUGGCAUUACAAGAAACUCAUAGUGUUAAUACCUGGUUUUAAAGGCUGUCUUCGACACAUCUAAGUCUUUCACCCGUAGCGGGUAGUAACCAGAACGAAGAUCAAUCUUCGAAAAUACAGUGGCACCUUUCAGUUGAUCAAACAGAUCGUUAAUUUGAGGCAAUUGAUACUUAUUCUUUAUUGUCACUUUUUUGAGUUGUCUAUAAUCUAUACAUAACCUCAGAGAUCCAUCUUUCUUCUUUACAAACAGAACCGGUGCACCCCAAGGUGAAAAACGGGGUCGAGCAAAGUCUUGGUCAGUUAAUUCUUGUAACUGUGCUUUCAACUCUUUUUAAUUCAGUAGGAGCCAUUCGAUAAGAUGCUAUAGAUAUUAGAGUUAUUCCCGAAACAAGAUCUAUAGAGAACUCCACUUCUCUAACCGGUGGUAAUCUGGGUAAUUCCUCAAAAAACACAUCAGGAAACUCACAAACAACCGGCACUGACUUAAUCUUUGAUUCAGAUACUUUAGUGUCCAACACAUAAGUAAGAUAAACAUCAUAGCCUUUUCUGAUAUAUUUCUAUGCUGGCAUAGCUGAAAUCACAUUAGAUAUCCCAUGCAAUUUAUCAGAUUCAACAUGGAGUAACUCACCAUUCUAACAUUUUAACACAAUUAAUUUUUGUUUACAAUUCACCACUGUAUCAUGUUGAGUUAGCCAAUCCAUUCCCAAGAUUACAUUAAAUUCAUCAAAGGGCAGUAACAUCAAAUUAGCCGAGAAACAAUAACCUUUUUAUCAUCAAUAGAUAGUUUUUACAAACUUUAUCCACCAUAGCAUACUGACCUAGGGAAUUUGAAACUUUAACCACAAAUUCAGUGAAUUCAACAAGUAAAUUUUUAACAAACACUAAAUUUGUGCAUAUGUAUGAAUGUGUUAAACUAGGAUCAAUCAAAGCAGUAAUAUCAGUUUCAAGUAGAGAAAAUGUACCAGUAAUGACGUCUGGUGCAGUGGCAUCCUCUCUUGCACGAAUAGCAUACGUCAUUGCCGGUGCUCAUGCUUCAGACUUAACUGUUGAAUCUUUUGUAGUCCCUCGAUUACCACAGACAUUUCCAGAAUCUUGGGGUAGUCUACCCUCAAGCCAGGGUUACUCGAUUUCAAAAUCUGAUCAGUAUCUUUUUCUAUUCUUUUCGGACAAUCUUUAAGGAAAUGGUCAAAAGGACUACAUCUAUAGCAAACCUCACUUCUUAGACGAUAUUUCCCAAAAUGAAAUUUACUACAGUAUUUGCAUUUUGGUUUGAAAUUCCCAACGCUUCCAACACUGGCUACAGAUGGAGAAGAAUAUCUCGAGUUAGAGCGUUGAGAGCCUCGCUUUUUCUCAGAAUAUCCCACAGAUGUGGUAAAACAAUUAUGAUACUUCUUUGAUUUCUUUGAAGUAGAUGAUUAUGACUUACCCAUAAAUCUUUUACCAGAAACCUGAGCUUCUCUCUCUACUUGUUUCUUUUAUUUAUUCAAUUUCUCAGCUUUUGUGCUCGACCGGCCAUUACCAUAAAUUCUCUUAAUUCAAGAAUCCUAAUCAAUAACUUGAUAUCUUCAUUUAAUCCUUUUUCAAAAUGUUUGCACAUAUCAACCUCAGUUGGAACCCAUCCUCUGCAUACGCACUCAAUCUAAAAAAUUCUCGUUCGUAUUUAGAUUUUGUCAUGCUUCUCUGUUUGAGCUCUAGAAAUUCUUUCUUUUUCUGAUCCAAAAAUCUCUGGCUUAUAUACUUCUUUUUAAAUGUCUAAAAGAACUCCCAUGUAAAAUUUUCUCUCGGUAAUACAGAAAUCAAAGUAUUCCACCACUAAUAGGCUGUAUCUUUUAAUAAAUACACUGCAUAUUUCAAGCAUUCGGCUAGUGUACAUGAUAGUUCAUCUAAGACCUUGAUGGUAUUUUCCAACCAAAACUCAGCCCUCUCCGGAUCAUCAUCGGCUAGUGUACAUGAUAGUUCAAGCGAGCUUAACAGGACGCUCAUAAAGAGUUACGUUUAUGUCCGCAAUGUAUGCAAGAUCACAACCGAUCGCAUAACAGGACGCUCACAAAUAGCUGCGUUUGUGUCCGCAACAUAUGCAGGAUCACAAUCGAUCGAAUCAUGUAAUAGGACGCCUACAAAGAGCUACGGUAGUGCACAAUACAUGCAAAUUCACUACCAAUCAGGAUGCUCGUAGGAACCAAAUAACAGGAUACUCUAGAGGACUUAUAACAGGAUUGCUCGUCCGAGCUAUAUUCUGUCCGCAACAUAUGCAGGACCUUAUUCAAUGUGGGGAAACCAUGUAUCCAUCGAAAUUCUUUACUCAAAUGGAAUUUAACAGUUUUUGGACAUGAUCGGGCAUGUGAUUAUUUCAUAUAUUUACAACAUUCAUAUAAUUCAUUUAAUUACAUAUCACAUUCAACUCAAGCAUAUAAAUAUACACAAUUUAGUUACGCGAACUUACCUCAACAACUAUUUGUGUUUGCAAAAGUCUACUAAUCUGAUAUUUUCUCUUUUCCACGAUUUAACUCUUUAUUUGAUAUUUUUUGACCUAUGUGAAUGAAUUUAACAUCAAUUUAAUUCAUUUCAUACUCAAUUAAAUUCAAUUCAUAUCCUAGGAAAAAUUACUUUGCCCCUAUACUGUUCAUAAAUGACAAUUUCGUCUCUAAGCUUGGAAAAUGAAAUUCAUGCAAUUUAGUCCUUAUUCCAAACCUAACCAAAAUUUUCAUAUUACAUUUACAGCACAUGUAUUUCACAAAAUUUAGAAUUUUUCCAUGAAUUUUACAACUUUUCAAUUUAGUCCCUAAAUUAUGUUUUCAUUAAAAUUCACUUUGUAAAAAUUGUUAUCUAUCAACAAUCUUUAAUUUUCUACCAUAAAUUUUAAAAUUUCAGCAUAUUCAUCCCUGGAAAAACUUUGAUACUUUAAUAACUUUACAAAUUAAUCCCUAAAAUAGAUAGAUUAAACUAUACUGAUCUCAAAAAUAUAAAAAUUACUAAAAACAGGACAAAAAUUCAUACCUAAUUAAGCUUGAUUGAUUUCCUUUCUCUCUCCGAGGGUUGUCAUGUAAUUUUGGGGAAGAUGAUAUAAAAUGAUGUUUUCUCUUAUUUAAUUUAAUUUAUCAUCUUUUAAUUUUCAACUUUCCAAUUUCAUCAUUUUCUUUAUCUAAUUUUCCAUGGAUGAAUCAUCAAAAAUAUCUACUAACUCCAUCUAAUGGUUUCAUUUUCAUAUAAGGACCUCUGAUUUUGAAUUCUAUAGCUAUUUGAUACUUAUAGCUACUAGAACUCAACUUUUACAUUUUAUGCAAUUUGGUCCUUUCCAUAAUUAAGCAUGAAAUCGGUAAAAUUUCUUAUAAAAAAAUUCAUGUAUCUUUCCUAUCAUAAUGAAAACCAUGCAAUGAUAUUAAAAUAAAUUUUCUUUCUUGCUCGGAUUUGUGGUCCCAAAACCACUUUUCUGAUUUCACUAAAAACGGGGUAUUACAGUCGUGUUGUCAAUGUUAUACCGUGAACUUUGUCGGGCAACGCAACUGGAUAAGAUGUCGAUUAGUGGUUGCUUGUUGCUGCUGCUGUAGUGGACCUGGCGACGAAUACUGUUUCUACGUUCUAAAAUCCUCGAACCAUACAAGUUCCCGUUGGUGACGAGGUAAACAUCAUUUAUCAAUAAAUACGUAGUUUGUGCAGUAAAUGUUUUUAUUUAUUAUAUGUUUCUCUUAAUGUAUCACUUGUACAGGUGAAACCAUAGGCUAAGUUGCCCGAGGAGUUGGAAAAUAUUAGGCUACUAUUAGAUCAAUGUUCGAAAAUCGAUGUUAAUUUCCUAUCUUUUUGAACCUAUAUUAAUUACGAAAUGGUUCAUUACAAAAAUCAGUAUGUAACGAUAUUUACAAUUUAUGCUUUUCAGUUUGAAUAAAUGUAUGCCAAUCCCAAGAUCAUAUCUUACAUCCCGUCGGAAGUGUUAGACAACUGGGAGAUGUGGGACUUGAAAGUAUCAUUGAUAGUGUAUAUGACGAUGGAAAUGCACGAAUCGAACUAGGUUUUACGAUAGUUCGAGUAUAAGCAACGAAUUACACCGUCAUUGCGAGACAUGAAGGAACUGCACCAGGUGGACGUGUAGGGGAAAAACGACGAGAACUGAGAGGAAAAGCACAAAUAGCACAUCCAAGCUUGGGAUCGUAAGAUGGAAUCCAUACCCGCCCACGAACCAUUUUUCUCGGUGGACAUGACGACAGCCGAUAAUUACUUGGCAUGGUUUAGAGCCGCUGACAAGUCGUAUCUACUACCACUGGAGGUAAUGAAUAGGCAAAUUCAACUAAAGAGGCAGUGUUGACCGCCACAACAACAUAGGAGGGGAUGCAGUCGCACGACGGGUUCGUUAUCACUCUAGCAGAAUAUGCGCCGCCUGUGGCUACGCAAUUUUUGGGCCAGUUCCCUUAACUUAUUUUCAUUCAAUUCACUAACCUCAUAUAUUUUACACAAGCACCACUGCUGCACGUGGUUGGUUCUUCUCUUCCAGUAUGUUCAUAUUUCGAGGCACCAACAUCCCCCGCAUACUGCUUCCAUGUUGAUGUUGAUAUCGUACCCCAUAUCGAGACAAACAUUGACGUAUACACCACCAUCGACGAUGAUACCGAUGCAAAUGUCCAUGCACAAGUUGAUGCCGAUGUCAAUGUCCAGGCUGAUGUCGAUGUACCUGAGAUUCGGGGCACCUUUUAGUUACACGCCUAUAGUGACCCAAACACCAUGCACAUCACUAUUUUACCGAGAUGACUCAUCGUCACAACCAUCAGACGUGGGAGUGGCGGAUACACGAUGACAAGUGAGGACGAUGCAACAAUCAACCACGGAAGAAGAUGAUGACGCUAUCAAUCUCAAUGAAACAAUUGUCCAAGAGGCUAUGCUAGGUACAUAUUCAGGCGAUGAUGAUUACAACAAGAAAGUCUACAAGCUUGCACUUUCAGAUUCACCUCCGAAGGUACUUCCUGUUGCACCUUCUAUUGAAACUCCGGUUGUACGCCCAAUUCCACGGAGGAAACCUGCACGCAACCAUUGUCCACCAUCUUGUGGCACACAUUCUCCCCGACAAUGAGUGCGAUGUAUUUUUUGUUAUAAAUAUUAUGAUGUAAAUAAAAAUGUCAUAAAUAAAAAACAAUUAAUUAUUACAAAACAAUCAUCUCAAGUGUUGUACAUUAUUAAUUAUUACAAUUAGUAUAAAGUCUUUAUUUGAACAAUACCUUUGUUUUUUCAUGAGUUAUGCGUAAGUUAAUAAUAAAUAAGAAAUUGAACCAAAUGGAAUACUCGAAACACAUUAAUGGACAUGAAAUUUGGUAGAAAGUAAUGUUAUCGACGCUGGGGCCCUAACGUAUCCCUAUACAGAGAACAUGUUGUCUUCGUAUGCCUCGGAUUUCUACAAUACUCGCAUAAUUUUUGUUGAUUGUGUUGGAAAAAACGAGUUUGAAAACACAACGGAAAAUAAAUUUAGAAAAAAAACCAGAGUUUUAAUUUUUUUCAAAAUAGGAACUUAGUUGUGAUAUCUAAAGUAAUAAACACUUAAUCAAAAUUGCACAUUUUCAAUUUGUCUAAGAUGAGCGUUUCGACCGAGUAGUAUUCUCUGUUAUCCUCAAGCUCACGUCUGUCGAGUGUGGAGUCGCUUCGAAUUAGAAAAUUUUUCACAAAAAUUACUAGUGGAAUAAUUUCGUAAUUUCUCCAAACUUCUCCAAACUUUUAAAUGUUAAUUACUUUAUUAACCUGCUAUUCAAUUUAAGGAGAGAAACAUUGAAUAAUGGAAAUUUUUGUUUCAUUUGAAAUCUUUUUUAUUCAUUAUUCAUUAAUAGGAAAUUGACAUAAAUUAAAAUAAGUAAACUAAAGGUAUUAGAACAAGUUCAUAACAAAAUUAUUGUAAAGAAGAUAUUUAUAUUUUUAUUAAAAUAAAACAAUUAAAACACCCUCAAAUAAUAUAAUAUAUUUUAAUUUUCGUAAUUGUUUUUUAUUAAUUUGGUCAAUUAACUCAUAACACUAACUCAAUCAAUGGCUUAUAGAUUUAUCAAUAAUUUAUUAUAUUAUUCAUAAUAUAUUACUAUUUUAUAAUUAUUUAUAAAAUUUUCUAUAUAUUAUGAAUAUGAAAUUUUUUAUCAUUCAAUUAUUCAAGAGGAUAUAAAUAGUUAAAUUUUAAAAAAGAGGGUAAGAAUUAUUAAUUGAGUGGUAUAAAUAGAGUGAAAUUGGACACCAGAAUGAAAAAGUAUAAAUAGAUUUGCAAAAAAGUGUGAGGAAUAAAAUGUGAAUAGCUUAUAAAAGAAAAAUGAUAAAGAGUAAUAAUUAACUAUUUUAUGUAAAAAUGAAAUUGAAAAUAUAUUGAUAUUUAGAAUUAAAAAAAUUAGGGUAUUAAGUUAAAGGAACUUAAGUAUAAUUUGCCAUUAAGUGAAAAAAUGACUUAACUGUAAUUAAACCAUAAAGAAAUAACAAAAUAUGAGCCAUUAAUAACUAAAUAAAAAUGGAUAAAUAAAGAAAUACGAAGAAAAGUCAAGAAAAUUGGGAAAUUCAUCAAAAUAUUUAUCUCUUUAUAUAAAGGUAACUCCAAAAUGAAUAGAAUUGAUUUUAGUAAUUAGUUUUUUUUUUAAAGAUAUAAGUGAAUGAAUAAUUAAUUUUUUUUAAGAAUGAAAUAAUUAAUUUUUUUUUUAAGAAUGAUUGAUCAAUUAAUUUUAUCUUAUUAAAAUAUAUUUAAGCACGGUUAGUUUGCUAGACAAAAACAAGUAGAACAACAAGAAUAGGAAUCAAAUAUUUAAGAAAAUUAAACCCAAAAAAAAAACAUGAAAGAAAGCAAUGAUACAAGAAAACAAAGAUGAGAUAUCACCUUUCAAUGGAGAGAGUUGGAAAGCAAAUCUUUGAGCUGUUUCUUUCUAUCCCAAGACAAUUAUGCCAGUGCCACUAGUGAUCAUAAUAUUGGCCUUUGUCCUCUUAAAUCAUUUUCUCAACUCUUCACAAUGUUCAUUCUCAAUUAAAUAAAAGUAUAACUCACUAAUUCAAGUAGUAAUUGAGGGAAAAACUUAUCAAUUUGCUCGUGAGAAUAUCCUACAUAUUUACUAGUUAUAAGAGUUUAACCAGGGAAAGGAGAGUUUAAUAUAUACUCUAACGCUACUUAUCUAAUUAUAUUCACAACAUCAAUAGAAGGAAUUGUUAACAUUAAUGGGAGACAACAUUAAUGGCAAACAAUACAAAGUGGUGCAAGUUUAGCACCCUAAAGUUGACUUUGAAAAAGUGGCAUGGGAUAAUUUUUUUUGGUCCUUGAGAUAAUGGGCUAUUUAUUGUUUGGUCCUUAAACCUCAACUAUAAAUAGGCCUUCUAAUUUCUCAUUUCAAUCAUCCCAACCAAUCUUUCUCUCUUAGUUUUCUCUCUUCUCCCAUUUGAGAAUUCUUAAGGAAUUCUAUUUGUUUGUAAUACUUUGAAGAUAGUAAAGUUAUCAUCUGGUGUUAGUGCCCGAGGACGUAGGUAUAAUUUACCGAACCUCGUUAAAACUUUUGUGUUCUUUCUUGUCCUAUUUUUCUUUCAAUAUUUGAGGGUAUAAUAAUAGUAUUUAAUUGUGCUAUUAAAUUACUAUAGAAGGGAUAUUCUGUCUAAGGAAAGACUUGGUAUUUAAGAGAUCCAUGUGAUCCACCUCUCUUUCCUGGGAAUUGAACUUUGUGUGAUUUUUUAGUACAAUAAUUUACACGCUUCCGACCCUAUUGGAACAACAAGUGGUAUCAGAGCCGAAGGUUAAUCGUAGUAUGCUCUGUGGUUGCAAUUUAAACUGAUCUUCCACAUCAGAAAAGAUUUUCUUAGGUAUAUUGAAAGAUUAUGGAGAAAACGGUCGGUGUAGGAGCUUCAACAUCGUCCAUGUGGACAAGACCGACAAUUGCAAAUGCAAGAUUGGCCGUGGAGAUCUUUGAUGGCACGGGUCAUUUUGGUAUGUGGCAAAGUGAGGUUCUAGAUGCCCUUUUUCAGCAGGGUCUAGACAUUGCCAUUGAUGAAGAGAAACCAGAUGAUGUACAGGAGAAAGAUUGGAAAGCGAUCAAUCGGUUGGCAUGUGGCACAAUUCGAUCAUGCCUUUCUCGAGAACAGAGGUAUGCUUUUUCAAAGGAGACUUCUGCAAAUAAGUUGUGGGUGGCACUUGAAGAAAAAUUUUUGAAGAAAAACAGUCAAAAUAAGCUCCACUUGAAGAAAAGACUGUUUCGCUUCACAUACGUCCCAAGUACCACAAUGAAUGAUCACAUCACCAAAUUUAAUCAGUUAGUCACUGAUUUGCUGAAUAUGGAUGAGACAUUCAAAGAUGAAGAUUUGGCUUUGAUGCUAUUGGGGUCACUUCCUGAUGAGUUUGAGUUCCUAGAAACUACUCUACUUCAUAGCAGGAGUGAUAUAUCUCUGAGCGAAGUCUGUGCGGCCUUAUACAGUUAUGAACAGAGAAAGAAGGACAAACAGAAAAACUCAAUCAGAGAUACAGAAGCUUUAGUAGUCCGAGGUCGUUCAUACACUCGGAAGAAAACUCAAAAGGGGAGAUCAAAGUCAAAGUCCAGACUCGGGAAAGAUGAAUGUGCUUUUUGCCAUGAAAAAGGCCACUGGAAGAAAAAUUGUCCAAAGCUGAAGAAUAAGGAAAAAGCUGCUGUAGAUGCUUGUGUUGCAAAGCAUGAUACUAGUGACUCUGAACUAUCACUGGUUGCAUCAUCAUCGUCGUUCCAUUCAGAUGAGUGGAUAUUGGAUUCGGGUUGUACCUAUCAUAUGUCCCCUAACCGGGAGUGGUUCUCUGAUUUAGUAGAACUAAAUGGAUGAGUUGUUUAUAUGGGCAAUGACAAUGCCUGUAAAACUGUUGGGAUAGGUUCAAUCCAAUUAAAGAAUCAAGAUGGAUCAACCAGAGUUCUGACUGAUGUUCGGUACGUGCCCAGUUUGAAGAAAAAUCUCAUCUCAUUGGGAGCCUUAGAAUCCAAUGGUUCAGUUGUUACUAUGAGAUGGGGUUUUGAAAGUGACAUCUGGCGCACUUGUGAUAUUUAAGGGCAUCAGGAAAAAUAACUUGUAUUACUACCAAUGUAGUACAGUUAUUGGAGCAGUCGCUGCAGCUUCCGGCAACAAAGAAUUGGACUCAAUACAGUUGUGGCAUAUGAAGUUGGGACAUGCCAGCGAAAAAUCCUUGCAAAUUCUGGCAAAGCAAGGAUUGUUGAAAGGUGCAAAGGCUUGCAAAUUAAAAUUUUGCGAGCAUUGUGUUCUGGGAAAGCAAAAGAGAGUGAAAUUCGGUACUGCUAUCCAUAAUACAAAAGGUAUUUUGGAAUAUGUUCACUCAGAUGUGUGGGGGCCUUCCAAGACACCUUCAUUGGGAGGAAAACACUACUUUGUUACUUUUGUUGAUGACUUUUCCAGAAGAGUUUGGGUGUAUACCAUGAGAACUAAGGAUGAAGUGCUUAGAGUUUUUCUUAAAUGGAAAACUAUGAUCGAAAACCAGAUUGGCAAGAAAAUCAAGCGGCUUAGGACGGACAAUGGAGGGGAAUAUAAAAGUGAUCUGUUCUUCGAUGUGUGCCAAGAAUAUGGUAUUGUUCGACACUUCACAGUUAGGGAUACACCACAGCAUAAUGGAUUGGCAGAGCGUAUGAAUCGAACAUUGCUGGAGAAAGUUCGAUGUAUGUUGUCCAAUGCUGGGUUGGGCAAGCAAUUUUGGGCUGAGGUUGUGACAUACGCUGGCCAUCUUGUUAAUCGUUUGCCAUCAUCUGCAUUAGAAAGGAAAACUCCUAUGGAGGUAUGGUCUGGAAAACCGGCUACAGAUUAUGAUUCCUUACAUGUGUUUGGAACCACUGCAUAUUACCAUGUGAAGGAGUCAAAGUUAGAUCCGAGGGUAAAGAAAGAUCUCUUUAUGGGAAUCACUUCUAGAGUGAAGGGAUUUCGUCUUUGGUGCUUAAGCACAAAGAAAAUGAUCUGUAGCAGAGAUGUUACCUUUGAUGAAUCUGCGACAUUGAAAAAGGUAGCAGAUAAAGAUAUUCAGACGAGCAAUACUCCACAGCAGGUGGAGUGUACUCCAAAACAGGUGGAGUUUGAGCAGAUGGGGAUUUGCCCAGUUAAUAAGUCUAAUUCUCCAGCCACAAUGGAGGAAUUAGAGGUUGAAGAGGUUCUGACCCAAGAACCACUAAGUACACCAGAACCAGUUGCAGUUGCAAGGCCACGGAGAGAAAUUCGUAAAUCUGCUCGAUUUACUGAUAUGGUGGCCUACGCCCUUCCCGUUGUUGAUGAUAUUCCUAUCACUUAUCAAGAAGCAAUGCAAAGCUUAGAAAGUGAUAAAUGGAAAAGCGCCAUGGAUGAAGAAAUGCAGUCUCUCCGGAAGAACAAUACUUGGGAGUUGGCGCAAUUACCGAAAGGUAAAAGGGCAAUCAGACGCAAGUGGGUAUUCGCAAAGAAAGAUGGAUCUCCUAGCAAGAAGGAUAUUCGCUACAAGGCAAGAUUGGUAGCUAAAGGCUACGCUCAGAAGGAGGGAAUUGACUACAAUGAUGUAUUUUCCCCUGUUGUGAAGCAUUCCUCCAUUAGAAUUUUGUUGGCCUUGGUAGCACAGUUGAAUUUGGAGCUAGCUCAAUUUGAUGUUAAGACGGCUUUCUUGCAUGGUGAGUUAGAAGAGGAGAUCUAUAUGACUCAGCCAGAAGGAUACACAGAUGCUGGUGGUAGAAAUUGGGUUUGUAAGCUGAACAAAUCGCUAUAUGGAUUGAAGCAAUCCCCGAGGCAGUGGUACAAGCGAUUUGAUAGCUUUAUGAGAAGACAGAAGUACACAAGAAGUAAAUAUGACAAUUGUGUGUAUUUGCAGAAGCUGCAUGACGGAUCUUUCAUUUAUCUACUCUUGUAUGUUGAUGAUAUGUUAAUCGCUUCGAAGAGCCAAAAAGAGAUAGAUAAGCUGAAGGCUCAGUUGAAUCAAGAGUUCGAGAUGAAAGAUCUAGGUGAGGCCAAGAAGAUUCUCGGCAUGGAGAUAAGUAGAGAUAGACAGAGAGGCAAGCUUUGUUUGAAUUAGAAGCAAUAUCUGAAAAAGGUAUUACAAUGUUUUGGUGUAAAUGAAAACACAAAACAUGUAAGUACCCCACUUACUUCUCAUUUGAAACUUAGUGCUCAAUUAUCUCCGAAAACUGAAGAAGAAAGAGAAUAUAUGGCAAAAGUCCCAUAUGCUAAUGCAGUUGGGAGUUUGAUGUAUGCGAUGGUGUGUACGCGGCCUAACAUUUCACAAGUUGUUAGAGUUGUGAGCAGGUAUAUGCAUGAUCCUGGAAAAGGACAUUGGCAAGCUGUGAAAUGGAUUCUACGGUAUCUUCGAAAAACUGUAGAUGUUGGUUUAAUUUUUGAACAGGAUGAAGCACUUGGUCAGUUUGUAGUUGGAUAUGUUGAUUCUGACUUUGCUGGUGAUUUAGAUAAACGUCGUUCAACUACGGGGUAUCUAUUUACUCUUGUAAAAGCCCCAGUGAGUUGGAAGUCUACCUUACAGUCUACAGUAGCUGUGUCUACUACAGAGGCAGAAUAUAUGGCAGUUACAGAAGCUGUUAAGGAGGCUAUUUGGCUUAAUGGAUUGUUGAAAGACUUAAGAGUUGUUCAAAGUCACAUAAGUUUAUAUUGUGACAGUCAGAGCGCUAUUCAUUUAGCGAAAAAUCAAGUCUAUCAUUCAAGAACCAAGCAUAUCGACGUAAGAUAUCACUUUGUGCGGGAAGUCUUUGAAAAAGGAAAAUUUCUACUUCAGAAGAUUCCGACAGCAGAUAAUCCCGCAGAUAUGAUGACCAAGGUGGUAAAAACAAUCAAGUUUAAUCAUUGUUUGAACUUGAUUAACAUCCUGAGAAUUUGAGCACCUUCAGGUGUAUGGCGCUCGAGAGUGCAUUUGUAGGCACUACAAAAGAUAGCUUUAUUGAAUUUGGGGAGUUGAAGGAAGUGUGUGAAGAUGUGAUUAUCCUAAUCAAAUCUUCAAGGUGGAGAUUGUUAACAUUAAUGGGAGACAACAUUAAUGGCAAACAAUACAAAGUGGUGCAAGUUUAGCACCCUAAAGUUGACUUUGAAAAAGUGGCAUGGGAUAAUUUUUUUUUGGUCCUUGAGAUAAUGGGCUAUUUAUUGUUUGGUCCUUAAACCUCAACUAUAAAUAGGCCUUCUCAUUUCUCAUUUCAAUCAUCCCAACCAAUCUUUCUCUCUUAGUUUUCUCUCUUCUCCCAUUUGAGAAUUCUUAAGGAAUUCUAUUUGUUUGUAAUACUUUGAAGAUAGUAAAGUUAUCAUCUGGUGUUAGAGCCCGAGGACGUAGGUAUAAUUUACCGAACCUCGUUAAAACUCUUGUGUUCUUUCUUGUCCUAUUUUUCUUUCAAUAUUUAAGGGUAUAAUAGUAGUAUUUAAUUGUGCUAUUAAAUUACUAUAGAAGGGAUAUUCUGUCUAAGGAAAGACUUGGUAUUUAAGAGAUCCAUGUGAUCCACCUCUCUUUCCUGGGAAUUGAACUUUGUGUGAUUGUUUAGUACAAUAAUUUACACGCUUCCGACCCUAUUGGAACAACAGGAAUUAAGUUUAUUUUUACUCAAAAGGCUUUUGGAAUCUCAACUCAUAACUGUUAAAAAGCGAUUUCUGAUGUCAAAGUAGAGAACAUCCCUUCUUCAUGGUGCACUUCAAAGACAAAGGUUCAAAUAUGUAGAGGUGCAUAUAGAGGUGGCAAAACGAUGAAUGACCUAUAGAUAUUCAAAUAACACAAUUCUUGAUUACGAUUUUGGAAAAGAUAAAUAAAAAUUUAUUGUGUAACCUAAUCUUCGCAUUCUUUUUGACACUAUCAACAACAAAUACCAACUCAAAGAAAGAAAAAAAAAGAGUUAAAUAUUGAUUUAUUUACCUUGAAAAAAUGUCUUUAUCGAUUAUCAUUCACCAACGAAUCUCCCAUCUACAAACACUACAAAUAACUCAAUUAGAAACAAUUUAAUCUUCCCCAACUACCACCUCCCUUACCUAUCCCGAUUCCAACUCCCCUUCUUUUCAUACUUCCCCUAUGUAGCAGAAAAAGACCUUAUAAUUAAUCUCCAAAUAGGUUUAAUUCAAUUUCUCAAAGGGAAUGUUUAAUUCUAUAAAAUGUUAAAUUGAUUGUUUGUAAAUUGAUAUUAUGAAAUUGAGUCAUAUUAAAGUAAAAUUUACCAAUAAUUCAUAUUAGAUCAAUGAAUAUGGCUGCAACUAACCGGCAACAACAUACUCUAGCAGAGAGCAAUACAACCUGCAAUGAAAGGGCAUCUCCCAUAACUCUUUAUAAAGCAACUGCGCCAAAAUGAAAAGCGAAAUAAUCAAUUUCUGCCAUUAAACUACAUUUUAUGCUUAAGCUUAUUACUAAAAGCAGGAUAUUUUUAACACUCAUACCUUAUGAAACACAAUCAUGUUUGUGAUUCUUUGAAACUCAUACUUUUCUAAAGCAAAUUAUCUCCACUUUUCCUUCAAUUUUGGCCUUUCCGUAGCAUUUAUCCUUGAGCUGAAACUCUUCAAUAUGAAUAGCCUAUAAAGUAGAAGGAUGUAAUAAGUUUAGGAAAAUAAAAAUUUAAGGCUCUUUCCAUAGUAAUGGAUUGAGUGAUUGUCACUGCUUGAGUGCAUGUAAAUUGUUGGCAUGUUUAUUAUUUGCAUCCGCUGUAAUUUCAUCAUUCAUCCCCUUAUAUAAAAAUGGAAAAAAGUAUUCCAAAGUUCUGUUUUUUCCCUUCAAUCAAACACAUAGGUAAGCUAUAGACUCACACAGUUAGUUGAUUGGUUGUGCCUUAUCUUUCUCCAGUUUUCCACACCCAUGCUGCUAUGUUCCUCUAAGUAAGGUUAGUUUGCCAGAGAAAACCAAGUAGUACAACAAGAAUAGGGAAUCAAAUAUCAAAGAAAAAUGAACAAAAAAAAAAGAAAGAAAAACGAAAGAAAGCAAUGAUACAAGAAAACAAAAAUGGGAUACCACCUUCCAAUGGAAAGAGUUGGAAAGCAAAUCUCUGAGCUGUUUCUUUCUAUCCCAAGAAAAUAAUGUCAGUGCCCCUAGUGGUCAUAAGAUUGGCCUUUUUCCUCUUAAAUCAUUUUCUCAACUCUUCACAAUGUUCAUUCUCAAUUAAAUAAGUACAACUCACUAAUUCAGUUGUAACAAAAGUAGUAUUUGAGGGAAAAACUUAUCAAUUUACUUAUAAGAGUUUAACUAGGGAAAGAAGUAGAGUUUAUUUUUACUCAAAAGAUUUUUGAAAUCUCACCUCACAAUUGUUAACAAGCAGCUUCUGAUGUCAAAGUGGAGAAUGUCCCUUAUUUGCAAUGCACUUCAAAGACAAGGGUAGAAAAACGAUGAGUGACCUAUACAUAUCCAAAGAAAACAGUUCUUGGUUACGAUAUUGGAAAAUAUAAAUCAAAAUUUAUCGUGGAAUCUAAUCUUCGCAUCCUUUUUGACACCAUCAACAACAAAUACAAAUUGAAAGAAGGAAAAAAAAGAGUUAAAUAUUGAUUUAUUUACCUUAGAAAAAUGUCUCUAUUGAUUAUCAUUCACCAAUGGAUCUCCCAUCUGCAAACACCACAAAUAACGCAAUUAGAAAUAAUUUAAUCUUCCCUACCUCCCACCUCCCUUACCUAUCCCGAUUCGAACUCCCCUUCUUUUCAUACUUCCCCUAUGUAGCAGAAAAAACAUUAUAAUUUGAUCUCCGAAUAACAAAACUUUUAAGUAAUUUGGUUUCCUAGAAAAUACGGAAAAAAGAAGAGGGCAUUCGAUUUCUCAAAGGGAAUGUUUAAUUCUGUCACUAUUUGGUAAGCUCCAAACCUUGAAAUGAUUCUAUAUCUUAAUAUUCAGCUUCGUUUCGAUCAUGUAUCUCAUACAAAUAGGUGUAUUAUUCAUAAAUGAAAACGUGUAAAUUUUGCAGCCUUUGCAGUAAACUUGUAUGCAAAGUCAUUGAUGAACUUUCAAGUCCCUGCACUCUUUUAUAAAUUUGAAAUUUAGUCUUUAUAAGGAAUUUAAUUCCUCCACUUUUUGGAUUUUAAAAUUUAGGUUAACUAUUAAAACUGUUAAAAUUAUAUUGUUAAAUUCAAAUUCAUAGCAAGUUUACAAAUGUCGUGAGUAUUUUUUUAAAAUUUCAAAAUGUUACACCAACAAAAUAAAAAAAGCUAACAAUGUUAACAAUUAGAUUUGAAUUUUUUGAAAUAUAAAAAGUAGAUGACUAAAUUCUUGAAAAUAAAGGUACAAGGACUAAAUUUCAAAUUUGUGAAGAGUUCAUGAACUUCUAACAUAUUUUAACCAUAAAAAUAAAUAAUUAUAAAUUAUAGGGUAGCAAGUGUGAGUAUUAAUCCCUUAAGCCGUUAUAAAAGUUUCAAAGGUGUGCAUUAAUCCAUUUAAACCAACAUACAAUUUUUCUAAAUUUAUGCAUACCUUUUCUAUAAACAACUGCUGAGUGGUGGCAAUAAGGUUGCCUUCCCAACGCCCUACAUAUUCGCCUUUAGUAUUUUGUACUCCAAGCACCAUUGGUGUACUUAACUGUCCCUUUGUGAAAAUUUUCUUCUUUGGACACAAAUCUCAUAAUUAACCUUCAAGCAAGCAAGUGUUCCUGCAUGCUAGUUUUCAUCUCUUACUCCUUCACAUGUCAAUAAUUCAUUGAAGGUAGUCCUUUUCCAAAAGAAAGGUAUUCAAGAUUUGGCAAUGAUUAAAUGAAACAAUCUGAGAUAGUAACUCAUGUUUCAGGACAAUCAAACUUUCUUAGUUUGGGACAAUAUUGUUUCGGAUCUGCUCCUUGUCCAUGCCAUACCUAUAUAUUGCCAUUCCCAACCAAAAGCAAUUCUUCUAAAUUGGGGAAUGUUUCCCGAUAAAUUUAGAAACAUAUAUAUGUUAAAUAAAUGCAAAUCUUCUAAAGUAAAUGAUAAAAUAUGCAAAUUUUUAGAUUGACCUUUUAUUUAAUUUCUUUUAUGAGAUCUUACCUUAGUGACCCAAAAUAGGGGUUGUUGAACAGAGAGAACGGGUUGGCUCUCUCCUUGUGUUUCUCUAAAGUUGAUAUACUCCCCCGCGAAUGUCUCCACCUUGCUGCAUUCACACACCUCCAAUUGUUUUAACAAUGGCCAAUCUGUAGUAUGCACCUUGGAGUAGAAACCAAUCAAUUUGGGUAGCUUACGAAGUAUCAGCUGUCUUAUUUUAGGAAACACAAGCUUGGUGGUUGAUUUGAGCUCAAUCGAUUCAUUUGAGUUGAGUUCAUGACCGUCAGCAAGUCCAAUUAUUUCUUUUACCGACUCACAUUCCAAUAUUUGCAGAGUUUCUAGUUUUUCAAGUCUUUCCACCAUAUCAAAUGGUAAAAUAUUCGAAAGUCUGUCACACUGUUCCACCAUAAGGAAGGUUAAUUCAUGAUAUGAACCCAUAGUGAGUUUAUCGUGCCAUAUCUUUCUAAACUUUCCCAUGCCUACAAUUCUCAAAUCAUUCAAACUAGGAAACGCAACCUGCGGGAAUUAUUUAAGUCGUUAACGAGGAAAACAAGUUAGAAUUCUACAUAGAUAUGAAAAGUAAUAUCACUACAAAAAAAAAAGAGAGAGAAGAAUACCACCUUUUGGUUGAAAAGAGUAUUGGUCUCUGAGUUUUCUUGAUGGCAGAAUGUCCUUAGUUUUGGAAGCCUAAUGAGCUCCAGUAUCUGUAGCUUAGUGAACACGUAAAUCGGUAUCCCUUCUCCUGCUGCUAAUCCAUCUGUAAAUAUUAUUUCUUCCAUGUUUUUGGAAUCAAGAAGGCUAAGUUGAUGGAGCCGCUCAAAUUUUUUUACUAAAAGGGAUGGGAAUAGAUAUUCCAAAUUGUGGCAACCCUUCACAAUUAAGAUUUGUAAGUUCAGAACAUUAGAGGAUAUAGCCCUGUCUGGUUUAUCAGGCCAUAAUUUUUUGAUGUUAGUUGAUGAAAGUUCCAAGUACUGCAAGUUGGCACACAAAACCUGCAGACACAAUCCUCAUUGCAUGAAUUAUUUGGUAUUUAUCUCGAGAUUGAGCAUCAAAUAUCGGAUAAUCUAGUAAAAGUAAACUAGAUAUUUUCAAGGGUCGGACUUGUAGACUUUCCUUAAGUUGCGAUAAUCAUGAUCUUUAAUUGAGGAUAAAAAAGUGAUUAAGGGAUUCUACCAAAAAAAAAAAAGAAGUGAUUAAGGGAUAUAGAUAUUCAUCAAAUUUUGAGAUGAGGCAGUCUAUUCUACACGUCUUUAAAAGUUGGAUCCUUCAGAGUUUAAAACUGACUGAAGUGCUAUUCUAUUUGAUAUCAGGAACCUUUGAGUAGAGUCUGAUUUUUCAAAUUUUUCAUACUCUGGGAGUGUGUUUUCUAGCCUUUGUAGGAAAGAUUGGAGUGGAAGGUGAGUGCAAACAAACUGUAUGACAUUAAGGCUGUAAUUAUCCUAGGUGAGCUUGGGCAGAUUGAAUUGUUACCAAGUGUUGUAUUGAGAGUUUGUAUAGAGAUUUAAUUCUCUGAUCAAGGCCGAAGACAUAGGUUGUUUAACUGAACUGCAUAAACAAUCUCUAGUCUCCAUUCCCGUUUAUGCUUUACUACUAUUUAUUACAUUUUUGCAUUGUCAUACCAUACCCUUACAAUUUUAUUCAAAAAAAAAAGAACAUACCCUUACAAUAUUAGUUAUAACAUUCAAUUAGAACAGUCUUUAACAUAAGACAUUUUUAGUUUCUAUCUGUAGAAAUUAUGUACUCUAGUUUCUUAUUCUAUUAAUUUAACUUAAAUUUUCACCCAAAUAAAUUAAAAAGUUAAAACACUAAACAAAAGAGAAGAGACUAACCUUAUGAUUGAAAAAGGGUAUCUUUUCUCUGCCAACUACCUCUAUAUCCUCUUGCUCCCUUUUAGAUGCCAGUGCAUACAUCUUUGGGCAAUCAUCUACUGCAAUUUCAUACAAAGACGGACAUUGCAGGGUAAUGCUUCCCAUACAAAAACUUGUCAGCCUUGAACAUGACUCAAGUCUUAUCUUCUUAAGCAUGGGUAACAAGAGUGUAACCAUUUCAGUUUCCUCUGCUCCUUUUUUGAUAAUCUGCUCCAUUAUAGGGCAUUGUUUCACUUUUAUGUCUUCUAGUUGCGCAAGAUCUAAAGCCAUGGAAACGCUAAAUAUGUAUGUCAUGCUAUUACACUUAUAAACUUCUAAAACCUUAAGUUUCUUGAAAUCUAAACUUCCAUGAAUGUUCUCCUUCCAUAUUUCAAUUGACUUUGAAAAUUCUGAGAGGACUAAAUACCUGUUGAAGUAAUGGUCAGCAUGCAGCAACCAAGAUUGUCAAAGGCACUACAUGCAGAAGCUGCUGGUUCACCUAGUCAGCAAGCUGUUUAUGUUUCAUUUUGUAAUUUUAAGUUAGAGUAAUGUAACUUAGUUGCUUUAUAACUAUGUUAGGUUUAUGUUUGAUGUAAUUUUGAUGUUGACUGAGCUGAUAAAUCAGCUUUGUUUGUUUAUUCAAGCUAAUUAGCACAAGUUACUAUGUGUAUUAGUGGUAGUAGGUGAAGUUUAGGUCAACCUACUGUUUUGUCAAGAUUGUAAACUUGUUUUAUGUAUUGGCUUUAUGCCAUAUUUAGUUUGAUGAAUGAAUUCAAGAAGUUAUCAUCCAUAUGCUCUCCAUUUUUAGUUUUGCUUAAAAAAUCCAUUUGAGUUUUCUGCUUUGUUUCUCCUACAAGUCACGAGACUUGCCAUACAAGCAUUCUGCUGAAGCUUGCUGCUGCUGCCUCUUGCUCCAACAAUUGGUAUCUAGAGCCACAUUCUUAGAGGACCUGUUGUAGUUCAGUAUCAAAACGAUGGCAUCAUCAGGUUUUUCACCAGCUUCACCACCUGUCUUCAAUGGAGAGGGCUUCAACAUUUGGGCAGUUAAGAUGAGGACUUACCUGCAGGCAUUCGACCUAUGGGAAGUUGUUAACUCAGAUGCUGAGCCAGCACCUCUUCGAGCUAAUCCAACAGUUGCUCAAAUAAGGCAACACACUGAUGAAAGGACAAAAAGGCACAAGGCCAUGUCAUGCAUACAGAAUUGUGUGACAGAUGUGAUCUUUAUGAGGAUCAUGGCCUGUGAGACACCAAAGGAGGCUUGGGACAAGCUGAAAGAAGAAUUUCAGGGGACUGAGAAAACAAGGCAACAACAGCUGCUCAAUUUGAGAAGAGAUUUCGAAAAUCUCAAAAUGAAAGAGGAAGAAACAGUUAAGCAGUACUCAGACCGGAUUAUGGCUGUUGUAAACAGCAUAAGGCUCCUAGGAGAGCAAUUCAGUGAAGCUAGAAUGGUUGAGAAAGUCAUGUCCACUCUACCAGAGAGGUAUGAAGCUAAAAUUUCAUCCCUCGAAGACUCAAGGGACUUGACAACUAUCUCCUUAACUGAGCUAAUCAAUGCCUUGUAUGCACAAGAGCAAAGAAGAGCUAGCAGACAAGAGGAGCACCAGGAAGGGGCUUUUCAAGCCAAAGAAGCCUCGAGCAUCAAAACUCAUAAAGGCAAAAAGUUCUGGAAAAACAGGCCUAAGCCUGAUGCUGCUAGGAGCAGUGACCAACUCUGCAGACAUUGUAAAAGAGCUGGUCAUCCAGAAGAUAGAUGCUGGUUUAGACCAGAUGCAGUAUGCCAACACUGCAAGAAAAAAGGCCAUGUUGAAAAGGUUUGCAAGAAUAGAAGCAAACCAAGACAGAAUCAAUUUCAGCAACAAAAGGUGGAAGCUCGAGUAGCUGAAGAAAGCAGUGAUCAAGAAGAACAUGUUUUUGCUGUGUCAUGUGCAGCAAAUCAGAAGAAGGGUUCAAAGGGCUGGCUUCUAGACAGUGGGUGCACAAACCACAUGUCACCAGAUGCAACUAUCUUCAAAACCCUGGACAGAACCUGCAAAACCAAAGUAAAAAUUGGAAAUGGUCAGUUAAUCAAUGCUGAAGGAAGAGGAGAUGUGCUGAUUCAUACUUCUACAGGUGGCAAAAUCAUUUCAAAUGUACUUUUGGUACCUGAAAUCGAUAGGAACCUUCUCAGUAUAACUCAACUACUUGAGAAAGGUUACUCAGUUGUUUUCAAGGAGAAAGAAUGUCAAAUUUUUGAUCCAAGUGGAUCAAAUCUUAUAACAGUCACCAUGACUGAUAAAUGUUUUGAAGUAGACUGGCCAAAUGACUCACAUUCGGCCUGCAUAGCCUCAACUGAUGACUCGAGACUCUGGCAUCAGAGGCUUGGACAUGCAAACUACAAAUCCAUAGCCCGCAUGGUCAAUGAAGGUCUGGCAGAAAAUUUCAUUGAUUCAGUGAAGAAUGAUGAGCUUUGUGAGAUAUGUCAGCAAGGAAAAUUGGCAAGAUUGCCAUUUCCAACAAGCACAACAUGGAGAGCAUCAGAGAAGCUCCAGCUUGUGCAUACAGAUGUGUGUGGACCAAUGAAGACUGAGUCUCUCAAAGGAAGCAGGUACUUUAUUUUAUUUAUUGAUGACUUAACAAGAUACUGCUGGAUUUAUUUUCUAAAACAGAAAUUAGAAGUACCAUCUAUGUUCCUGAAGUAUAAGGCUGCUGUUGAAACUGAGUCUGGUUGCAAACUUAGAGCAAUGAGGUCAGAUAAUGGAACUGAGUACACCUCAGCUCAGUUCCAAGUCUACUGUGAAGAAGCAGGUAUCAAACACCAGUUGACUAAUGUGUAUACACCCCAACAGAAUGGGGUCAGUGAAAGGAAAAACAGAAGCUUGAUGAACAUGGCAAGAUGUCUUCUGUUUGAGAAGAAUUUGCCCAAAAGUCUGUGGGCUGAAGCUGUUAACACAGCAGUUUAUCUCCAAAACAGGCUCCCAACCAAGGCUCUGGCUGAGAAGACUCCAUUUGAAGCCUGGUUUGGGUUUAAGCCAUCACUGGCUCAUCUCAGAACCUUUGGUUGUCUGUGCUAUACUCAAGUUCCAGCUGAGAAGAGAAGCAAGCUAGAUAAAAGAGCUCAAGCAGGGAUCCUGAUCGGCUACAGCUUGGUUAAGAAGGGCUACAGAAUACUAGAACCUGCUACAAACAAGAUAUUGGUUAGCAGGGAUGUUGUUUUCAAUGAAAAAGGACACUGGAAUUGGGAGAAGGCUGAACCAGAGGCAGUGGCUGAAGAUCUGGCAGUGGACCAAGUUGAAAAUGAUGAAAACACACCUGAAAUGGAUGUAGAUGAUGUUCCAAUCAGAGGCACUCGAUCACUGACUGAUGUUUAUGAAAGAGCACAAGUGGCUACUGUUGAACCAAGUUGCUUUGAAGAAGCAGAAAACCAGGAGGACUGGAAGCAAGCAAUGAUUGAAGAAAUCAGAAUGAUUGAAAAGAAUCAGACCUGGAGUCUGGUUGAUAAACCAACAAACAGGAAGAUUAUUGGUGUCAAAUGGGUUUAUCGAGUAAAGAACAAUGCUGAUGGUAGCCUAAACAAGUUAAAGGCUAGAUUGGUUGUGAAAGGCUUCAGUCAAAGGUAUGGAUCAGACUACCUGGAAACCUUUGCACCAGUGGCCAGGCUAGACACUAUUAGACUGCUAGUUGCCUUAGCAGCACAAAAACAGUGGCUGAUACACCAACUUGAUGUAAAAUCAGCAUUUCUGAAUGGAUUUCUUGAAGAGGAGAUUUAUGUGGAGCAACCUCAAGGUUUCAAGGUGUCUGGCAAAGAAGAUAUGGUGUACAAGCUCAACAAAGCCUUGUAUGGCUUGAAACAGGCUCCAAAGGCCUGGUAUAGCAGAAUAGAUGGCUAUCUGACCAGUCAAGGAUUUGAAAGAAGUCUUAGCGAGCCAACUCUGUAUGUUAAAUCAACUAGUGCUGAAACUCAGCUCAUUGUCUCAAUAUAUGUCGAUGACCUACUGGUGACAGGAGGAGAUCAUGAGAUGCUAAGCAGUUUUAAAGUCAAAAUGCAACAGCACUUUGAAAUGUCAGAUUUGGGAUUGAUGUCUUACUUCUUAGGCAUGGAAGUAACUCAAGCUAAGAAUGGGAUUUGGCUAAGUCAAAAGACCUUUGCUAUGAAGGUUCUCAACAAAUUCUCAAUGGAGAAUUGCAAAGCAACCAGCACACCGGUUGCUGUUGGAGAAAAACUCUCGAGCCAAGACAAGCAUGAAAAGGUUUGUGAAACAACCUAUCGAAGUCUAGUUGGAUGUUUGUUGUAUUUGACUGCUACUAGACCUGACAUAAUGUAUGCUGUGAGUCUACUCUCGAGGUUUAUGCAUUGUUCAAAUGAAAGUCAUUUUAGAGCUGCAAAAAGGGUUCUAAGAUACAUCAAAGGAACUUUGUCCUAUGGAAUGCAGUUUACCAAGGCUGAGAACUUGAGGCUAGUUGGAUAUUGUGACAGUGAUUGGGCUGGUUCUUUGGAUGACAUGAAGAGCACUACAGGUUAUGCAUUCAACAUAGGCUCUGCUAUGAUAUGCUGGAGCUCAAAGAAGCAAGGAGUAGUGGCUCAGUCGACUGCAGAAGCAGAAUAUGUGGCUGCUGCUGCAGCAGUCAAUCAAGCCAUAUGGCUUAGAAAAAUUUUGAAAGAUAUCAAUCAUGAGCAAAAGGAAGCAACUGAGAUAAUGUGUGACAACCAAUCAGCAGUUGCUAUUGCAAAGAAUCCUGUUUUUCAUGGAAGGACCAAGCACUUCAACAUCAAACUUCAUGCAGUUCGGGAAAUGGAACAAGCUCAUGUUGUUAAGCUGAUACAUUGCAGUUCUGAAGAGCAAAUUGCUGAUAUUUUAACAAAAGCACUAAGUGUUUCCAAGUUUCAACACCUGAGAACUAAUAUGGGAGUUUGCAACAUGCUAACCAAGGAGGAGUGUUGAAGUAAUGGUCAGCAUGCAGCAACCAAGACUGUCAAAGGCACUACAUGCAGAAGCUGCUGGUUCACCUAGUCAGCAAGCUGUUUAUGUUUCAUUUUGUAAUUUUAAGUUAGAGUAAUGUAACUUAGUUGCUUUAUAACUAUGUUAGGUUUAUGUUUGAUGUAAUUUUGAUGUUGACUGAGCUGAUAAAUCAGCUUUGUUUGUUUAUUCAAGCUAAUUAGCACAAGUUACUAUGUGUAUUAGUGGUAGUAGGUGAAGUUUAGGUCAACCUACUGUUUUGUCAAGAUUGUAAACUUGUUUUAUGUAUUGGCUUUAUGCCAUAUUUAGUUUGAUGAAUGAAUUCAAGAAGUUAUCAUCCAUAUGCUCUCCAUUUUUAGUUUUGCUUAAAAAAUCCAUUUGAGUUUUCUGCUUUGUUUCUCCUACAAGUCACGAGACUUGCCAUACAAGCAUUCUGCUGAAGCUUGCUGCUGCUGCCUCUUGCUCCAACAAUACCCGAUAGCUUGGAACCCAGCCUACAAAAUCCAACAACGAAACAAGGAUUAAAGGAAUAUACAAUAACGAACCCAACCCAAACCAUAUGAAAGAAAGAAUGAUAUUAUGGAAUAAGCCAGAAUAACCAAAGCUAAGUUAAAGGAAUAUACAAUAAUACCUUUAUUGAAUACAUUUGUUGGAUAGUGUUAUUAAGGUCAAUAUACCAAUGUCCAUUAUCAUUUCCAUACUCUACUUUUUGCAAUAAUGGUGGAUUAGUUAAAACUCCCUUACAAAAUAUCUCCAAUUCAGGACAACCACUCACUAUUAAUUCCUCUAAACAUGGGAAUCCAAAUGUGUGGUUGCCUGAACAAAAGCUCUUAAGUCGCGGUAGAUUCACAAGUUCCAAACUUUUCAACCUGCUGAAAAUAAUGUCACAAGUUGCUUCAUCUCCCUCAGUUGCAACUAUUUCAGUCAUUGAAAUGCAGUCUUUUACCAUCAACUUCUUGAGUUGGGCCAUACCUUGGACUGCUAGACAUGUAUCUAAGUAUUUCAUAGCUUCGCAAUUCCACACAUCCAAUGUCGUGAGAUUUCGGAAUGAUGCCGAGGAUGAUCCUAAGCUGAUCAAAUUGUAACAAUCGUGAACUUCAAUAGUCUCAAGUUUGGGCAAAAUGUGGUCCACCUGUACGUAUUGCUUCCAUAAAUAAUCUUUUAGAUUAUUAAGAGCUACCAAUUUUAAGUUUCUAAUUGUUGACAAAGUCCCAGCAUACGUCUCCUCAUUACCGGUAUCUCCUUCAGUACAAAAUAGCUCUUUUAUUUCAUAAUAAGAGAUGGUAAGGUUUUCAAGAGCGUAGAAUCUCUCAAGGAAAGAAAUUCGGAAAUCAAUUGAUUUAGCACCGUGGCCAUGCACUUGAAAAGCUUUUAUUUCAUGAAAAAGGCUGCUUGAAAAUUGACCAUCACUUAUCAUUGCAAUGUAAUCACUAUCUAAUGUCAAAUGUUGUAGUUUAGGGAUGACCUGAAAACCAAUCAGAAAACAAUUUAGGAGUCAAUAUGUUCAUCUUCGAAUUAAGAAUUACUAAUGGUCAUGAGAAGAAAAGUGCACACAGAAAGAAUAGCAUCUGUUACAUAGAUGAAACAUCAUAUAUUUUUAGAAAAUUCUUAAUUAAUAUCAUACUCUCUUCAUCAGUAAAUUAAUUUUUCAAAAUAAUAUUUCAACCAACAAUAAUAGUAAACUAAGAUUGAUGGUUUAGAGUUUAAUCUAAGAUUGUAGAUUUUAGAGUUCAUAGUUGGAUUUAUGAUUUAUGGUUUAGGGUCGGGAUUUAGAAUUUAAGAGGGUUUCUUUUGUUUGUUCAUUAGAGUAAAAAAAAUGUACUUUUUAAAACAAUUUAAUAUAUAGAGUGGGAGUGAGAGGAUUCAUACCUUUUCAACCAAAAAAAGCGGUGGAUGGAUUGGGGAAUCAAGUUGUGUACCUAAGAUCUUCAUUUUCCCACACUCAACUACUUCCAACUUGUUUAACAUUGGCCACUUUGCAGUAUAUUUACCUGGGUAGAAGCAUUUCAAUUCUGGUAGCCUCCAAAGCAUAAGGGCGUAUAGUUGAUCAAACUUGAAAUUGACGGCUAUUUCCGAAUUUGAUCCUUCCUCUAAUUUGGAAACAAUCUCCUCCACUCCACAAUCGGAUAUUGCAAGAUAACCAAGUUGUGGUAGGUCUUUGGCUACUGAGGCUGGAAAUACAUUCUUCAAACUUCGACAGCCCAAAACAGAUAUUGCACAGAUUUUUUUAAAUGAAAAAAUUCCUUUGGGAUCAUUUUUCCAAAUAUAUUUCAACUUUGGUAAUCCUCCAAUAUGCAAUUCUCUUAGUUGAGCGGUUGCAAGCAAAGCGGUUUCUUUUUCAUCAUGCAUGAUUUCAAAUACUUGUUGUAAGGAACCACAAGUGUUUACAGUUAGACGGUGCAGCCUUUGAAAUGUUGUCAGCAUAUUAGAUGGGAAAAUGGUUAACAACUUAUCACAUCCUUUAACUCUCAAUUGUUGUAGUUUGGGGAAUGAAUUUGGUGGAAGUGGGUUCCGCCAUAUCAUCUUCAUCUUUCUCAAGUAGCAAAUACUCAUUUCCUCCAAACUGGGAAAUGCAACCUGCACUCAUGCCAAUAUAAUGAAAUUAGAGGCUAGCUGUUUGUUUCAUUUAUUGUGCGGGUUUGUGGAAAAUAAAUAAAAUUUUCAUUCUAAUGCUUAAAAACAAAUUAUUCCAGAUUGAAAUGAGAGAGAUUCUUGUUAGUCUAAAAAUAUGCAUUUUUCAAAAAUUUCAUUCUCAUUCCUCUCAUUUUCAACUGUACCACGAAAUGAUUAAAAAGAAAUUCAUUUUUUCUUUUAAUUUUUUCAUCUUUCUUAUCAACCACACUAUAUAAGAAAGAAAAAUAAAUGUUUUCUAUCUUUCUCUUCUUUUACUCCUUAAAAUAUCCAUCUUUUCAAUUUUCUUUCCACUAUACCAUUAAAGCCAAAGCCAACAAGGAGAAAAUGAGUAAACCUAAAAAUUAAGAAUUAACCCACCUUAUUGUCAAACAGAUCACCUUGACUAGAGAUUCGUCGGUUCCCUUCCCUUGUAUAUCUACAAAUGAAACCGUCCAAAUUUGGACAGUUGUAUAUCGUCAUUGACUUCAUGAAUGGAAAUUCAAUAACUUUAUUUUGGGAGUUGGAACAAAAUCCACUCAAAUGCUGAAGAUCCUUUAGCUCUAAGGACUUUAACUGAGGAAAUAAUGAUAAAGCCAUGGUAGCCUGAGUUUCUUCUUCUAUAUCCUCCAAAAAAAUUAUCUCUUUCAAGCAGUUGCACGCAGUUAUCUCAAAGUAUUUGAGAUGAACUAGAUAUUUAGCCAUAGAAAAUGAUAAUAGGUAUUUUAUGUUUCCACAACCCUCGAUUUUCAAUGUGGUUAACUUCUCAUGAGUACAAAAAGAUACAUUUGACAACUGAUUGUGCCAUACCCUUGUAACAUUAAGCGAUGACAAGUGCAAUUUCUCCAAGGAAGGGAACGAUAUCUACAACCAUACACAUAGUUAAGUCUAAAUUCAAAUAAAUAUUGUAAAAAAAAUGUAUAUAUAUAUAGUUAAAGGAAUAUUUACUUUAUAAUCCUAUUUUGCAAUUACCAAAUACAAUAAAAAUUACCUGUUUGGAAUUUUAAUGUAUCCGGAAUGAUUUUUAAUGGUGACAUGCUUCCAAUUGCUAAACAUGUCAUAAUUUUUUCUAAAAAACUAAUUUUUUUUUAAAAAACAUACUUGUUGAAUACACAAUACAGACAAGUUAAUAACUCAAAAAACCAAAAAUAAAGUUUGCCAACCAAUAAAAAGUUUCAUAUAGUAGAUAAAUUCUAGUAAAAAUAAAAUAUGUUGAGAGUAUUGGAGACUGAAGAACCUAUUAUAUGAUCAGAAAAAGGAAAAAAAAAAAAAACAAUCUCACAUAACUAAACAACUAGAAAGAUAUAAAGUUAUAUAUACCUUUUCUCCGAAAAGUGGCAAUUCAAGUUGAGGCAAUGAGGUAGCAUCGAUUUUGUCCUGAGAGCAAAAGCUAACGAGUUGAGGAAGACCCUGCAAUGUCAAGGACUGCAAUCGAGGAAAUUCAGUUUUAUCAUUAAUGAUCGAUUCAAUAUCCAAACCAUUUCGGAUAUGCAGAUUCUGCAACUGUGAUAGCCUUUCCUCAUCUAUUAACUCCUUCAGUGCAAUCUUCACACCUUUCAGUUCUUCCAAUUCUAAAUAUUGAGUUCUCUUUACCAACUUCUUAAUUCCAUGAUCCAAAUCGUCAAUGCUUGUGUUUAAUUUGAGUUUUAAGAUACUUGAAUAUUGGUAGUUGCCAAACCGCUCCCAUUCCUUUCCUAUGCAAAUCCUGUAUCUUUCCAACUUUUGCAACUUUUGAAAGAAGUCCUCUGGAGCAGCCAUGGCGUCCGGAAUUUGAACUUCUAAAGUGGACAAAUGAGACAGUGUGUUCAGUUCAGCAAGACUAGCAUUGGGUUGUCCCCAUUGAAUAGAAGUGCCACCCAUAUAUAAUUCUUCUAAUUUUGACAAACGUGGCAAGACGUCAGCUGAUAUUUUUUCGAGUUUAGUACAGCCACUUACAUCUAACAACUUUAGCUUCAACAAUUGCCCAAUUUCCUUGGGUACAAUUUUGAUAUCAGAUUGCGAAAGGCUAAGCACAUUUAAGUUCUUGAGCGCUCCAAUAAUGGUUAGGUUAUCUCCCAGAUUGCAGUGAUCUAGGCACAGUGUACUGAGGCUAGUUGGGAGACAAAUUGAUGAAGGUAAAGAAGAAAAAUGCACGCCAGUCAAAUCUAAGACUUUAAGAUCUUUUGCUUCCUUGAAGAAGUUAUCUGGCAACGUCAAGGAGAGAUCCUUGUUAAACAAAAGGAAAAGAAAAAGCUGCGGACAAUUCAACUGGUCAGGAAGCUUGCUGAUAUUAGGAUGCUGCAAAAUAAUCUUGUUGCACUCUUUCAUUGACUCUCCAUUUCGCCAAUCUGUUACAACAUCCUCUUCCUCAUCCUCAUCCUCGUCCUCAUCCGUUAAAGCAAGCACUCGAUUGUCGUUUGAAGCGAUUGAUUUGGCCACAAUAUAAGUAAGAUCAUGCACAUCAAAGUACUCCUCAUUGGUACUUUUACUAUCAAGCAACAAACAAGAUUCUUUGAGGGUACUCAUCAUUUUUAACAGCCUAUCUCGUGCUGCUUUCAUGGUGUUGACUCCUUUAAUUAGACCAAAACCACAAGCAUAUCUCAACAAGUCUUCAAUCCUAGUGUCACGACGCAGUAAACUGCAAAGCAGGAAAAUCUGCUUGAGGUCUUCACUCGAUAAAUGAUUGAUACUCAACUCAAUAGCCGAAUGUACCUCAGCAGAUAUAUCAUCCGAGCUUUUUUCUAAGUAAGGCCUCUGUAAUUGUUGUAAAGCAUCACUCCAAAAAAAUAAAGGUUUAUUUCGCAACGCCCUUGCAACAGUUGCAAGGGCAAGCGGUAAUCUUGCACAUUUCUUGGCUACCUCAAUUGCUGUAGAUCGCAGCUCCUCAUCACUUUCAACACUGUCCCCGGCCAUCUUCUUAAAGAACUCCCAAGCUUCUUCGUCAUCUAAAUCACCAAUUGCAAAGGUCUUUGUAGCAUCCAUCCCAUUUCUUAGAACAUUUUGAUAUCUUGAGGUCAACAGUAUUUUGCAUCCUUUGUGUUGACUUCCAAAUGGAAUUCCGACUUCCGCUAGAUCCAGUUUCUUCCAAAGAUCAUCCAAAAUAAUAAGAACAUUUUUCUCCUUCCUUAACCUUUCACCCAAUCUACGGGCUCUUACAACCGGACUGUUUUCUUCAAGCUUCAAACCCAAUGAGUAUGCCAUUUGGUCUUGGACUUCCUUAAUGUCAGGAAUUCGAGAUACAAUUGCCCCAACUACUGAAUCGAAUAACUUAACCUCAUGGAGUUGUCUCUCAACUUCGUUGACCAGCGAUGUUUUGCCCACACCAGCCAUCCCGUACACUCCAAUCAUGCUUGUUGUUGCAUCUUUCAGUGACUCCAUGAUAUCAUUGAAAACCUUCUCUCUUGAUUUAAAGGCCUCAAAGUCUGUAUGGACUACGGGUUCAGGAACAUCAGGGUAUCCCACGCGCUCAAAUUGGCAAUCUUUGAUAAGCUCAUCAAAGGUAGCAGCAGCUUCUUCUGCUUUCCUGCUAAGCUGGUAGCGAGACUUGAUGUUGGGACACAAGCCAAGGAAGCACUUGGUCUUUGCUUUGACUUCAAGAUCCUUCACUUUCUUCUCCUUUUCAGUGACAACCUUCUCCACUCUGUG